rnacentral:lncRNA from 1 species
UAUCUACCAGAGAAAAUACUCAAGUAAGACAAGAUGGAAAAAAUUCAAAUCAGCAAGCUUUUACCAAUGAGAUCAAACUGAACGAACUUAAGAUACUUCCUAACUUUGGAGAAGUAAUCAGAGUCAGAAUGGUAUUCUUUCAAACUGAGAGUGGUCAAAAUCCAUGUAGUUUUACUCAUCACUACCGGCAUGCUUCACGCAUUAUUAUUCUUUCACCGUCAAGUAUGAAAAAUGGACUAGCAAAAUCUUAGCUCGUACGUCAGAUGGUAAGGUAAUUCAUGCCCGUAAGGCCCUUCAACAGAGGCUGUAAUGUUGGAACAAAAUUGGUUGAGUAGUUCUUUUUCUCCUUCAGCACUAGACUUGUCCGAUACAUUGCUCCUCAAUUUUGCUGUCCAUUCCCCUAAGACCUUUAUGAGGACAGAGACAUGAUUCUUCCCAGCCAAAGGACUAGAAGAAACGCUGAAAGGAUGCCAUUGAAGCCAAGAUAAUUCCCUAAUCUGAAGGAAUAUGAAACUCAGGGCAUUGUACUGUAGAUCUGUGAUGAGAUAGGAACAGUAAUUUAGUUAAUAGAACAUUCUUGAAGAGGGUACAACCAACAGAACGUAAUAACAAUUGGCAAGAUAAAAGAGCACAAGAACAAUUAUUACUUGCUGGCUUUGAAAAGACCAAUUCUACAGUUCCACAAGGCAGACACGUUGCUGAAAUAACAUCCACAGUCCUUCGUGAUUGGCAGAAUCUCAGAAACCGGUCAAUCACAAAGAGGAAGAUUCCUCCAGCAGCUAUACUGAAAACAAAAUCUCCAACGUGCAGAGCCAAAAAGAUGACAAAGACAAUGUAGAGUUGGUGCGUGUAGAAGAACAAUUCAAAUUGCUUCUUCCUCACUGGAGACAAUGAUGUCACCCACAUCAGUAGACCAGCCAAAAGGCUGAUAACCCCAGGUAGAUUAGCAACACCAUAAUCUUUCCACUCCAGCAUCUGAACAAAACACUUUUAGUCAGGAAUAUGAAUUUCAGCAUAAUCAAGUUUGGUACAUGUGAAAAGUUUCCAGGAAAAAGAGUUGCCAUGGACCUGAAUCACAUAAGACAUUUUCUAAAAGCUAGAGAAUGUUUGCGCUAACAUUCCCAUAUCUUGUCGAGAUGAUGCAUAACUUCUUAAACAGGAUAUCGAAUGCAAAGCUGGAGCCUUGCCCAUUCAUUAGAGGAAAGGUACAGAAGCUACAAUACUUGGAAAGUAUCUUGUAGCUACAAAAGUUAAGCAGUAGAUUUAGCAAGAUUUUAAGAUUGGGGAACAUUGAUAUCAGAUCACAAUCUUUACUUUUCAUGUCAUUUUAAGAUUUAAUAUGAUCUGCAGAGUAAUUGGCCCUGUCAUUCUGGACCUGGUCCCUUCAAUUAUUGAGUUGCAGAAACCAUAUCUAUUGUUUUAAAAUCAGUUGUUGUUCAAUAUGUCAAGCUACCAUGCUUGAGGGCUUCUUUCAAUAUACUGAACUGAGAAUGACAUGAAAGUAAAGCUAACUAAGGAAAACUGAAAAACAAGAAAAAGGAACAGUCAGGCAUUUAGCAAAAGUACAGUAUGAGGGCUCACUUCAUGUAGCAGGCGACCUUGCAGACCCCAUGCGAUUAAGUAGAAUAGCCCAUGGAGGGUGAAGACAAACAUUGUGAGAUGUCCAAGCCAGACAUGAUAUCGAGUUGCUUGCUCAAACGGGACGUCAAUGAUACUGAGAAGAACAGAUCCUCUAGUAAUCGGAAGGAAGAGAAACGCCAAGAAGUACAGUCCAAUGGAACCAAAACGAAGUCCAGAAAGUUCCAGCAUCACUAUGCUGCAAAGAAUGAUGAAAUACUCAGUGGAAAGGCUUUUGUUAGAAGAAUCAAAAAGCUGCAUACAAUAAUUAUAGUUAAGAUCUUGAUGCAUAAAUUCAAAUGAUACACUGGCCUCAGUUCAUUUAAGCUUCAAUUUAGGUCAAUGGGGAAAGCCUGAUCAUGAAUUAGAGUGAAGAAAGAGUAAUACCCUUUCAAUUCAGAAGGUACUUGGAGCUCGGGUAACAAGUUGAGAUUCUGCAGGGUAUAACCAUAAACAGCCCAGAAGAAAAACACAACAAAUAAGCAAAUCCCGAUAAACUCAGCUGCUGAGACUACUCCAAAUGGUCCAUCAACCAGGAUGGGAAACGUCCGUAAUCGAAACCUUGGGUAUUUGCUAGUCUUCUUCCUGUGAUCUCAAGUUCAGUGGCAGCGAGAAAUCAAAUUUGCACGACAAAAAUGCACAGACAACCAAAACAAUGACUGGAGGUUUGAUUCAACAUACAAUUGGAGCUCUUUCUCCCCAGCAAUGAUCAGACUUGCUAUGGCAAGAAAUGCAACAGCUAGAAUUGGGCCGCUGUAUACCAAGAAUAAGCUUCCUGCAGGGUUUUAAGUGUCUCAGGGCUUAAGUGCCAAUAUAAGGGGACAAUGACUGCUAACUAUAUGAAGACAGGGUGAGGGAGAGCAAAAGCUGAACCUGAAAAGCCAUAUAUGCUUCCACUGGCUGCUCUAGUCCAAUUUCUUGUAAACUUCUCAGCGGACUCCGAGGGGGAAGCAAAUAUGAUCGCAACCCAGAAAAUGAAGAGGAGCCACAUCGCGAUGUUAAGAACCCAUUUGACGAAUGCAGAGGGCGCGAAACGAGGUGGGUUCUUGACAUCGGCAUGGUUGAGCAGCAGAGGCUCAUGAGCAGAGUGCGUCUUAGCCAUGUGAAGAGAUAUGAGGGAUGGAGGGAAUUCUGAAGCAGCCUAGGCUAAAACCAUAGAUAUAUAUAAUCUCACGGGGAAUUCGAGGACACCUCCAAGUCCAAAUUAUGUGGAACCAAACAAGAUUAAGCAGUUUGGCUCGGCAUACAUCAGUUAGGAGAAUUCAAACCACUCACAUCACAAUCUUAGCAUCGCCUCCCAGAAGAAACCAUAUCCCGUUGCAAUGCACACCGAUUGAGCUGCUGGCGUCGUCUUCCCCUCGGCAUUCUGUGGCCGAGACAAUGGACACCAGGAUUCUUGAUACAUGAAGGAGAGGACAUAUCAGUCAUCGCUCGACCCGGACUGGGUGCAUUUUGUCUCUAGCAGCGAAGCUGAGAAAAGAUCUUCUAUUUGCCUUGCCUCUUUUGAUCUACCAUGGUACGAUGAAGAAGUGAACAACGAAACCAGGUCCACAAAAAAUGGGAAUAGGACAGGGCAAUUACUGGUUGGUUGGGGGUGGUCCCAUCCCGGAAGAAUCAUCCUACGAAGAAGCGAUCAGGUCCACUCAACAACAUGCGUACCCAAGUAUUUGCGUUGUCACGUCGUCCGUCUCCAUAUGAUCAGCUACGUGGGCGGGUAAUAUUUACAGAAGUGCCCGCUCGCUCGAGCGAUAGAGAGCUUGACACAUACGACCUAGCAGCACCUGCGGUCUUUGAAGCCGACGAUGAGCUUGAAUUGGACGCUUCUUCAUACAUUUGACGUGAUUAAAGAUGCGAUCUUUGGCUUUACUACUCAAGAAAGAAAAGAACUUGAUUGACCCAUUGAGCAGAAAAAGAUACUAAUUCGAUUUCUCGAAAGAUUUGAAAAAGGUUGUAUACGAUUCCGAAUGAGUUUAAGCUACAAGGAGCUCCAUUGAAGCUGAAUUCCCAGUAAUAUCAUUAAAAUGAUUAUGAAAAACAAGAGGGUACUCCUAGCAAAAAUAGCAGAGAGAGAAUCUGGGCUCGUCUGGGCUCAAGGAAAGCACUCUUGUUCCUUUUCGGUCGCAAAGUUUAGAGAUUUUUCUUUUUCUGGGAUUUCGACGAGGCGUGUAGAUUGGACAACCAUGUUGUCGUCUGAUUCUUGGUUAUUGUCGGUGUCCUUGAUUUGAUCAUAUGCGUGGGUUGCGGAGUAUCGGGAGUGCUUUACGUAACAGGAAUCGCGAAGUUGGUGUGAACUUUCUAUACCUUGAACAAGAGAUGCGUCUCAUGGAGAAACUGAUCCACUUCGAAACAUAUUUCCCUCAUCUUUACCUCAAUUUGUGUAUUCAAUGGUCAUGAUCGUUGUUAGAUUUGUGCACGCGAAGGUUAUGGCCUAUGAGACUGAUCGGUUCCCGGUCUGGCUCCCAAAUUCUAAGACUAAGAACCGGACCGACCGACUAGUCCGGUCCGGUCCGGUGGAACCGGUAAUUUGUUAUUUGAGGACCAAAAAAAAAAAUUACGAAAAUGCUCUCCUAAUUUUUAAAACUUGCCAUGCCCAGCUUUUAAAGUCUCGAGCUUUGAUUUUUUCAGUGGAUCUUCACUUCUUCUCAGCUUGUGUUCAUUGGAAAAGGAAGGUAAAGCAUAAAGCAAAAACUAAAAGGGGAAGGUAAAACAAAAGGAGGGGAAAGCAAAACCUAAAAUGUAAAAAGGGCAAAGGGUUUUUUCUCAAUUUUUAUUUUUUUAAAUAUAUUAGCCAGCCCAGUCCGGUCGGUCUAGUCGGUUCGAUUCUCAUCUUGGAACUAGGAACCGGACCGCCCUCUUCGAGAAUCGCCCAAAAUCGAUUGGUCCGAUCUGGUCCAGGCGGUUCUUGUUGCACACCCCUAAUAGCCUAUGGAAAACUCUUAUCAAUGGAAAAAAAAAAAAAAAAAGUUGAUUGAAUACCACGUAAUGUGACAGUUAUGAUGACGUUGGAUCCAAUAUAGUCAGGAUGACAUUCAUCGUCUGCAGUACCUUGCAUUACUAGCAUAGGCUUUUAUCGAUCCUCCCGAUUGUAUCUGCCGAGUUUGGCACGGGCGAGGUAGAAGAGAUGUAACAAAGUCAACUACAGAUCAAAACUAUGGCUGUUGAAAUGGAAGACUGGGCCAAGCGACCCCCUCCUCAAGUUCUGCGACCUGCAUUGUUUGGCAACACUCGACUGAAGAGUCAUGGGACCGCACACGAUCACGCCGAUAUCAACAUUGCCCCAGCGCUCGGACACUGAUUUAAAGAUUUCUGCAGAGUCAUACGAAAUAUGUUAAUGCAGGGGAUCCCAUUGGUCCAGCAUAAGUAUCAACAGUACUCGAUUCUUUAACUACUGAUGAGAUCACUCGACUAGAAACAAGCAAAGAACAUCUCCCGAAUGACAUGGCAAAGAAUACCUUCAAAGUUCGGUCUAGCUCCGUAAUGUAUACUCCUCGAAACAGAGCGAUAUUCUGGGGCGAAGUUGUCCUGCAUUAUGUUUGUGUGGGCACUCUCACUCUGCUGCGGCCUGUUGUCCUUCUCAGCAUCCUCAGCUUCCUCUGCAGCAAGAACUGUUUUUUCCAGGCGAUGCCAAAAAUAGAUGACAGGGCCUCCAAAUAGGAUUACACUGGCAAGCAUGCACACUACAAACAGGAGGCCUCUGUACCACCAAGUGACUAUGUUCAAAGGAUUUAUGUAGAAGAUGUCCAGCAGGGCCAUCAAUACAGCAAACCCGAUCACGGAUGAGAUGACAUAAAGUCCAGACCAAAUACUGUUUCCCGUGCCAACUAGAACGGACAUGCCUCUUCCCCUUAAUAGAGAAGACACGGAACAGGUAAAGCCCUCGCUGUUGUUACCUUCCUCCUGCAUCAUAACCACACUUAGCUCUAUCAGAUUGUAAAAUUAAACUGGAAUAGUAGAGAAAACUUCACUGGUCUGAGGUAAAUUGUGUGUCGAAGGCACAAGUCAAAUUUACCAAUGGAGGAUCUGAUUCCCGAGUGACAUAAACACAAACUUCAAGAUUAAGUCUAUCUGAAAGGUUAGGGCAGAUCAAGUCCAUAUCCACAGUGGAAAGUAGAUGAAGCUCAUCGGACUUUUUGAUGGCCCAAAUGACAAUGACAUUCUUUGGUAAGCAUGGUUUCCCUUGCUUUUUGAGAUGGAGCAUGUCACCCAAGAUGGCCAAAAAGGGAGCGAUCCCACUGCCACCGGCUACUAGAAUGAGGUUUUCAUAUCUACCAGAGAAAAUUGUUCAAGUAAGAAUCUGCUGAAAAGCGGGUGAAAAUAGCCAUAAAGUGAUGAAUCUGUGGUCUCGAUGGUGAAAAAUCAAACUGAAUUGGCACAAACUUUAGAUACUUAUUUCGAAACACUCAUUAAGGUUUGAAUAUGUUACUUCAGACGAGAAGGGUCCAAAUUUGCCUAGUUUUACUCAUCACUAGUAGUAUGAUUCAUGCUCUACUGCUUCUUGCCAUCGUUACGGAAGACGUGUCCAGCCAAAUAAUAACACGUACGUCAGAUGGUAAGGUGAUUCAUGCCCAUAAGGGCCUUCUAUAGAGGCCUUUAUUUUGGAACAAGAUUGGUUGGGCAGUGCUCUUUCUCCUUCUUCACCGGAUACAUUGCUCUUCAAUUUGUCUGUCCAUUCCCCUACGGCCUUCAUGAGAACGGAGAUACGGUUAUCCCCUGCCAAAGGACUAGAAGAAACACUGAAAGGAUGCCAUUGAAGCCAGGACAAUUCCCUGAUCUGAAGGAAGAUGAAGCUCAGUGCAUUGUACCUCAGAUCUGCAUUGCCAGCGGAAAGCAACUAAUAUACUUGAUUUCUGGAAAGGGUGUACAAGCAAUUUAUGAUAGAUCCACAGAUGAAUGAAAGAAAACUCGAAUUAUUAGUACUUGCUGGCUUUGAGAAGACCAACUCUGCAGUUCCACAAGGGAGGCACGUCACAGAAAUUACGUCGACAGUCCUUCGUGAUUGGCAGAAUCUCAGAAACCGGUCGAUAAUGAAGAGGAAGAUUCCUCCAGCAGCUAUACUAAAUAUAAAAUCUCCAACGUGCAAAGCCAAAAAGAGUACAAAGACAGCAUAGAGUUGGUGUGUGUAGAAGAAUAAUUCGAACUGUUUCUUCCUCACUGGAGGCAUUGAUGUCACCCACAUCAGCAGACCAGCCGAAAUAGUGAUGACACCAGGUAGAUUGGAAAUACCAUCAUCCGUCCACUCCACUAUCUGAAUAAAACAUUGUCAUUCGUGAAUCAAGAACUUCAGCAUAACCAAGUGCGGCUACAUGUCUACAUUGUGCAAAUUCCCAAGAGAUAUUUUAUUGGAGCUAUAGAUUGUUUGCGCAUGCAUUCUCAUCUCGCGUUCUGUCAUGACUUGCAAAGAUGGUGCUUAACUUCUUAAACAGGAAACCAAAGGAAUGAUAAAGAUGUAGCUGACUGGAGAGGGGAAAAGAAGAAGAAGAAAGAUAACUAGUUCAGCGAAAGCAUGAGUUCUGGGGCGUACUUUAUCUAGCAGAACACCUUGCAUCACCCAUAUAAUUAUGUAGCAUAGCCCGUGGAGAGUGAUGAAGCACAUUGCGAGAUGUCCGAGCCAGAUAUGAUACCGGGUUGCUUGCUCAAAGGGGAUGUCUAUGAUACGAAGAAGAACAGAUCCCCUAGUAAUUGGGAGGAAGAGAAACGCCAAGCAGUACAUCACGAUGGAACCAAGGUGGAGUCCUGAACGUUCCAAGAUCUCCAACCUGCAGAAAACGAUCAAAUACAUAGCGGAAUGGCCUUGUUUAAUAAGAAUCGAAAAGAUGCAUGCCCCAAUAACUCAUUUACACUCGAGAUUCUGGACACAUGCAGUCAAAUGAUAGACCGGCCAUCUAUUUAAUCCUCGAUGGAAAAAACUAAGUGAAUUAACAUUACCAUUUACCGUUGGAAGGUGCUUGGAGCCCCUCCCAUAAAUGGUCAAGAAUGUCUGUGGCGUAAGCACACACAACCCACAAAGCAAACAAAACAAAGAGGCAAAUCCCAACGAACUCAGCUGCCGAGACUACUCCGAGUGGUCCACCAACCAGGACAGGAAAUGUCCGCAUUCGGAACCUUGGUCGUUUGCUAGACUUGUACCUGACAUCUCAUGUUCCCUAGCAAUGAGAUAUUGAAUUUCUGUACAAAAAAAGAAUGCAGCAACAAAAAGGUACAAGGAUUGAAGGUUUGACAUUACCAUUGGAGCUCCUUCUCUCCGGCAACGUUGAGACUUACUAUGGCAAGAACUGCGAUGAGGAGAACCGGACCGCUGAACACCAAGAAUAUGCUCCCUGCAGGGGGUUUUUUAAGAGCCAAACAUGAGGCGAUAAUGUUUGCUAGUAGGCCAAGUUCAAGAUCCACGAAAAAUCAUCAGAAAGAUUAACCUGUGAUCCCGUAAAUGCUCCCGCUGGCUACUUUAGUCCAAUUCUCGAGGUACAUAUUCCCGGCAGAGUCCAAGGGGGAUAUGAGCAUAACCACGACCCAGAAGCCAAAGACAAGCCACAUUGCGAUGCCGAGAACCGGUCUGAAGAAUGCGGCAAAGGUGGAACGAGAUGGCUUCUCGUUCUGGCCAUCGGCAAGGCUUGGCAGCAGAGGUUCAUCAGGAUAGUGCUGCGCAUUGGCCAUCGGAAGUGAUGAAGAUGGAGGGUACUCUUGAGCAGCCUAAGUAGACAAAUACAUAGGUAUUCACAGAGAACAGAUGAGUGACCCUCCAAAUGUUAGAAAAUGAAGCAAGUGAUCGUCUAAAAUAGAAUAAGCCAACCACAUCCAGAGCGAAGCCACUUGAAUCCGAGACGUGGGUUGUAACUGGCUAGAAUAAAAUAUUCUCUUAACCUCGUUUAGGAAUCACAGUUGUUAAUCACAAAAAUGUAGCUACCUAAAUCACAGUUGGAAAAAGCGCUCUCUAUCUGCACGUCAAGUCAAUUUGCCUCUGAACUCUUCGUUCGACAAAUCACUACCAUGACUUAUCCAUCUAUUCGGUCAACAUACGAAUUAUCGUCGGAUGUCCAGGCAAACUCAGAAGAAACUGAGAAGCUACGGUGGUCUGGUGCAUUUCUGGCAGCGUCAUCGUGCUCAAAAAGUCAGCUAACGGCCACCUGCAUAUGACGACCGUGGACGUUAACAACGACAGCGUGAGUAUCGAGGGCCAGCAGUCUUGAAGAACAAAGUAUGGUCGGAUGUGGCUGGGAAGAUUUGUUCUGAUUGGUAGAUCCACUUUUGAUUAGUGGAUUGCUUUAUGAGUUUGUUGCUCCUUUUCUGGGUAGUCUGUGGUUUUGAUGUUAUAUAAUGAGCACAUUUUUCAGGGAUAUGAUUUUAUAAAAAUAAAACUUAUAUUUAGAUAUUGACACAUUUUGUGACAUCCCAAAUUUUCAAUCCUGUCUUCUACCGAAUAAAUCAGGCAUUUCAUUGACGCGUCUAUAUGGUUAUUCUCAGAACCGAUCACUCUCGAGAUAACUAGACUAGCUGGGAAAAUUAUUAAGGAAUUUUAAGGCAAUAGACUUGAGAACUCGAUCAGGAAUCGGCUUCUUGACCGUGUCCAUUUUUAGAGGUCACUACGGCACAGUUAAAAAUCGAUUUGAAAUCAGAGAUAGACUGGAUCGAUAGAGAUAUGUGACUAAUCGUGGGUGACACCACUGAAUUAGAAAAUUCUCGUCGGCCGACACUAGACUGAUUUUCUUAUUGUUUUGGUACCCUGUGUCCGUAUUUGGAUCAUCGAGAUUUUCACGAUAAGCGAGAGUUGCCAAUGAGUCGAGUGGGUUCAUAGUGGUUCGAAGAAAAUCGACCACGGGUCAUUUGCGCUUAAAAAUAUCUGAAAGUUACCCGAUAGUCUAGGUCACGCUAAAAACGCACCGAAUGAAAAUUAACCGCCAAUUCGAGUUUGAUUUCAGAAAUUGACGUUUUGGCCAUGUCACAAUAAAUUUUAGGAGCAUCGACUCAGUCUCAGAAGAUUUUUCGGAGAUUCGGGAAAUUUUACGGAAAUUGGGUUCGGAUGUCGCGGAAAUUUGACAGAAGUUCAGAUUGGCUAAACUAAUGGGAAAUUGGACUUUCAGACUGAACGGUUGUGUGUCGGGGAUUUAUAGAAAAUCAUUUGGGAUUUUUCUACGUCGAAAUUGGACCUCAAUUUGGGAAUUUAUUGGAGAAAUUGAAGUUCAAAUGGUGAAAUUCGUAUGAUUGGAUGAGGCAGCAAUUUUGGACUUUAAAAUUUUUUAUUUGUGAGUUGAUAAGCUUGAAAUUGAUUUUUUUUGGGGGGGGGGGGGUAUGGUGGACUGGUGGGGCCAAAACAUUAAAUGUAUUGGCUAAGAUUUCUGAUUUUUCUUGUCUCCUCUUAGCUGGCUUCUCACGCUCGGCAACCCUCCCAUCCGCUCAUUAUUCCUGCUUUUGUUUUAAUCUCUCUACCGUGCGAAGCAAUCCCCAUCCAAUCUCUCUCCAUCUCCGUUACUUCUCUUCCUCAACCGAAGCCCACACACUCCACUCACGCCAGCCACGAGAUCUUCAAUUUAAGGUGCUCCUCGCCACUUGCCCAUCAACCAGCAUCUCUCGGUCAACACCUGCAAGAACGAAGCCGUUGGUUGACCGCUUGAAGCCCACGACUCCACCGAGUUCCUUCACGUUGCCACCUGCCCGCUCCUCCUUCUGCUUCGGUCAACAAACGAAACCGCCGAAGCCCAAGUCCAACGUCUUCAGCCCGAGCAUAUCGUGGAGUCCACGAAGACAGCGUCCAUGAGCAGCUCCCAUCUUUAGUCUUCCCCUGUGGCGUGCCCUCAGCUCCACGCCAGCACGCCAGUCAACUCCAACGCCCACGGAAGACCACCGAUUCAACCAAGUCUUCAUCUGCGAAAUCCUCCGAGCAUCCUCACGCCGCCAGCAACAUCCACCGAGCAACACCACCGAAGAGAAGCCGCACGUAUCCACCGAAUUCUGCCGUUUGUCCGUGCUUCCCUCCACGCGUCCGAGCCCCAACUCAUUCGGUCCAUCAUCUCGCCGUGAAGCCUCGAGAUCCACCGAGUUGCCAACCGUUGCCAGCGUCUUCGGUCUCCUCAGUCAGCGAAUCCAGCUGCCUGAAGCCCAACAAAUCCUGCAGUUUCAGUCUUCUUUUGUUCGUGGGCCAACCACAGCGAGCCCAUUCCAUUUUUCAGUGGCCCAACCUCAGCUCUUUGGAAGCCUGUGAUCAAGCAGCCCACAAGCCCAGUUCAGUUCAAUGACAACCCAGACCAGCAAGUUUUAGUUUCAGCUUUGGGCCCAGCCUAUUUUCAGCCCAGUUGAAGUCUUCAAGCCCAGUUUUUGAAGCCCAAUCGCAGCUAGACCCAAGUCCAAGAGCAAGCCCAUUCCAGUGCAAGGACAAAUCUCAUUUGGGCUGAGAUUUGUUGGGCUAAGUUUAAGCCCGGCCCAAGUUCGUCGACGCCGCCGAAAAUUUCGAUUUCGGCCGUCGUCGAGUUGUUGUCGCGGUGAACCGGUUUUCGCGAUACACCGGUGAGUUUAUACUCUAAACUCUGCUUAGUAGGUUAAUGACGUUUAAGGGGUGUUUAGAUUUAUUUUAUUAGGAAUUAGGUGGUUAGUUAGAUUAAAUUAGAAAUUGAAUUAUUUAAUUGAGCAUGUUAGGUGGUUAGCAUGGUUUAGCUAAGGCCUAAAUAAAUUGUACUGUUUAUCUAGAAGGGUUCGGGAAUUUCUCCGAGUCCGUAUUGGUUAUUAAUUUAAUGAUUUUGGCCUAGGUUAUUAUUUGUAGAAUUUAAAUUGAUUUAUUUAAUUGAUUUAAGUAAUUAUUUAAUUAUUAAUUAUUUUUCCGGAAAUUAGGCCGAGAUAGUCGGUGACCGGAAUUUCGUGCUGAUUGCAACGGUGUGGUUAAUUUCUGCAAUUGAGUGCUAAGUUAUGCAAAUUGAGUGCUGAUUGGAUUUUUGGUAUUUAAUUCCAAAAUUGUGAAUUUCCAAUAUUUAUUCAGAAAAUCUCAGGUGUCGGGUUUUGAUACCGAAAAUGGUUUUUAGUACUAUAUGAAAUAGUGGGAUUUCAAAAAGGAGGAAUAUCAAUUUUUCUGGAUCAAGUUGACCGUGUACCCACACACGAGUAAUUUCAUGUGAAUUUCUAAUACGAAGAAAAAGGCCAGGCUCACUAUUUUAAUUGAAGCAUUUGAGUGCAAUGCACGGUGUCCUGGGCCAUAUUUGAGUGAUCGUGUGAUGGUUAUGAGAAAUCGUCCCGGGCUGUUGAGCUGGACGUUAUCCCUAUGUGGGAUACCCCCUGGACAACGGGAAACCGGUCGCAGUUGAUUCUGGACCCUAUGCUCCUUCGGAAAAGCCGUCUAAUAAAGAGACGUGCCGUGCUCAAUGGGGUGAGACGAAGCCUGGCAAUGCCAGAAGACCGCCGAACUGAGAGUAGGCCGUACUAUAUGCCGAGAUCAAAACUAGGAACGCAUGAUUAAUUAAGUGUGGCGUUUCAAUUAUUGGAGCUUAUUUGUUGCUCAUGCUCUCAGGUUGUCUUUGAGAUAAAUUGUACUGACCUGCAGGGUGGGUCUGAGACGAGGUAAGUCUCUUUGAUUGUGUGAUUGCGUGCUUAGGACUCUUCUUGGCGUAUUUCCCUCCUAAUUGGGGUUUAGAGCUUAGACUCGCUGAGAUGAUAUCUCACCCCGUUGUGGGACAACAUUUUCAGGGUCGUUGAGUGGAGGACCUGGAGCUGAGAGGAGGUGAUCGGAAGCAUAGAUCAAUUAGGACCGCUUCUUUUUGGAGGGCCAGUCUUUUGUAGUCUUUGGCCAUAGACCUGUGUUCAUGACUCAGUGUAUAUAUAAAAGCAUGUUUGUGUAUGAAUCUAUUAUACUGCUUUUCUAUCCCGAGAUGAUUACUGUCAGGGGAUUUCUUUUCGCUUCCGCAUGUGCAAUAAAAUAAAAAGGGUCGGCGACUCAUCUUGGGAAGUCGCAAAUUAUUAUCGACCAGAUAGGGAUGAGCACGUGCUCGAAGUCCGGGGCGUGACACAUUUUUCUUUUUUGAGUGACGGUUAUCCACAUGUUAUAUAUAAUGCAAUCCCAUAUUUUUUAGGGAUGGUUUUUUAAAUUAAAAUUUAUCCUUAGGCAUUUCCCCAAUUUUCUCCUGAGUGACAGUUAUCCACUAAUUUCCACGUUCAUACCCUUUCGAAACAACUGCUUUUUGGUAACUACAUUGAUGGGAAGUGGUUUGUAAAAGACCAACAUUCAUUAUGUGGGGUAAUUACAAAGUCUAACGACAACCUUCUCAUUCGGAAAUACACCAUCAGUACAUAAAGGGAUUGGGUUAGUAGAGUAUGCCCGUAAUUCCGUCAAAUCUCCAUGAAUUUCCGAUGAACACAAAUUCAAACAAUGGCUGGAGGUCACUUUUAUUUAUGAUCGUAUUUUUCUGCAUAUGAUUUUAAUCAAUGUUUGAAUUUUGUUCUUCAAUGCGUGAUUAGAAUCGUUAGUUUAUGUGAUUAUUUGUAUUGUUGAAGCAAGCACCGCCUCUCUCUCCCUCUCUUCGUUGUUCUAGAUUUAUCUAGGACCAAUAUCUAAAUAGGUAGCUUUUGCUUGUAAAGUUCAAAGUCUCUUUUGUGUUAGGUGAGAUAAGUAGCUAAGAACCACCUUUCAAAGAAGGGGUAUAAAUUAUAAUUGAGGAAUAGGCCAGCUCAUGUAGGGCACUCCCCUCGUCGGUGGAAGUCUCCCUUAGGGAUGCUCUCCUUGCCAACUUGAGCAGAGAAGAGAAAGGAGUGUGGCGUGUAGAGUGUGUGCUUUGUGCGUAUGCGCCCGCCGUCGGGGUCUUUCUUAUAGUGUUGGGAGUGCGGCGAGCGGCAAGUAUGCCGCGAGAGCAGUCUUUAAGCUUUAACUUAAUGCGCAAUGUUGCUCUUGAAUUUUUAAAUUAUUCAAUGUGGUCCAUGAACUUUUAAUUUAUUUUCAAUUUAGUCACUAAACUACAUGAAAAUGUUUAGUGUUGUCCCUUAACUUGAAUAAAUGAAAGGAAAAUAUUGAACAUUUUCAAAUAAUUCAAAACUAAAUUAAACAUAUAGCAAAAGUUUAGGGAUCAUACUAAAUAAAUUAAAAGUUCAGGAACCGCAUUGUACAUUAGACUAAAGUUAAGAGAUCACAAUAAACAUACUAAAAGUUCAAGGACCAUAAACAUCAUUAGGCCAAAGUUCAUAAAUUACAUAUGUCAUCAUCCGAAACUUAUUAUACUUGAAAACUCAAUAGCUCACUUUUUCACUAGAUGUAUUAAGGAUUAAAUGGGCCCUUUUAUUCACCCAGGGGCCAAGACAUUGCUCUUCCGAAUGCUAUUUUCAUUUUUGAAAUUUAAGGAAAAAGUUAUUUAAUUUCGAACAAUUUUAAAUAUUUGAAGUGGUGGAUUCUAAAUUCUAAGAGCAAGAAUAUGUUUGAGAUUGUUCCCAAACCAUCCUAAUAAUAUUCUGUCUUAAAAAUCUCCUUUGAGCGUAUAAAGAAGGGUACUCUGCAGAGAAGUCAGGGUGGUCCCCUGGUUCUCCUGUUUUUAUUCCCGGAAACGAAAAUUCGCAUCGUCCUUGUCUUUUAUGGUCGUCGUCACCGAGUCAAUUCAUGGCCACAUGCAGUUACGAUCGUGCCGGCAAACAAUUACUGAUCGACAACGAUGGCCACGGUGCAUCACCUGGAGUGGCCGAGGAGUAGUCCCCUGUUUUCUUAUUCUCCCCAUGAGCUUGGAUAGAAACUAAAGUUUCCAAUCGCUCUUGCCCACGUGCGUUUUGUGUACUCGACUGCUUUGAUAGUCGAAACGUCACCAUUGUCCUCCUCACAUCAGCAGCUCUUCAUCGUCCUUCAUCCAGAGCGAAGAAGUCCGGUCCGUCCUCAGCUACUCCUAUUGAAACCUGUGCACUGUGCAGUGCCGACGUAUGGAUUAUGUGAAUUGCUUAAACAAUCCCAACCAACCCUGCUCAUGGUGGAAAAAUAGAUAAGCACUAUUUAUACAAAAAAGAAUGGUCAUCUUGAUUCAUUAGAAAUUGGACAGAUAAGCAAAUUUUGUAGAGCACUCCCCUUGUGCUUCGUUGGUGGAAGUCUCCCUAUAAAUAGGGAUGCUCUCCUUGCCAACUUGAGCAGAGCAGAAAAAGAAAAGAGUGGGGUGUGUACCAAGUGUCGUGUGGAAUAAAGAAAGAGGUGGAGAGUGUGUUUGUAUGACCGUGUUUUGUAAUAUAUGGGUCAGCUCAGCCCAUUUUCUUUUCUCCAUCAAAUUUGUGCGUGAGCGUGAGAAGCGGCAGACCGAACCAGAAGAGAGGAAAAGGAGAUGAGAGUGCGUUCGUCCAUGAAGAGAAGCAAAAGGGGGAAGAAGAGAGAAGGAAAAUUUUCAUGGGCAGCUGAUCUGAACACCUCGACUAGCUGAACCAACUAUAAACCGCAAUGCCUGGUAAGUAUUCAAGCCGAUAUUUCAUAUAAUCGAGGUAAUUUUGGAACUUAGGGCACAAAUUUAAAGUUAUAUAGAUUUUUAACUACGAUAUUUGAUUAAGGAGUUUUUGGAGCUACGAUUUUUGUGGAAAUAGUAAUAUAGUGCGUUGUGGAGCAAUAGGUUUGACGAAACUCAAUUUCAAAAUAUGGUUUGUUUGGAACGAAAUUCCAAAAUUUUGCACAUGGGUUACGCGUAACAGCAAAAGACAAACACACGCCAUAAAUGAGUUUCUUCAUGAUUUAACGUGAUUUAGUCGAGUCAUUAAUUAAACUUGUGUAAUACUCGAUUUUUAAUAUUAUUUUUCUAAUUGAUAGGAAUGUGAGUGCGGCGGACUGAGUAACCACUAAAGGUUGGUUUUCAGCUUUUUUUUCAAGUGAAUGAUACUUUUUUUGGGUUUUAUACUCAUGUUUUGAAAAACAUUAUGGAUUAAGGAUGCUAUGAGUUAAUAAAUAGCAUGCAUACAACAAGAUCGAGCUUUUACUUAGGGGUGUCAAAAACCGAACUAUUGACACCUAAAUUUUUGGGGUUGGUUUUUUGCUAAAUUAAAAAUAUAUAUAUAUAAACAUGGCAUAUAGUUUAUAAACAUUUUAUUUUUUAUUUUAGAUUGUUGGUGAAGGGAAGAUUUUUUACAUAUUCCAUUAAGAUUUUUCACAUAUAUUAUCUGGCGCAAAAAAGGAAUUUUUUGGAUAGAAUAUGUAAAAAAUAAAAAAGGGAAAUAUUGCGUGAGGUGAGUAUAUUUCAACAAUAUAUUUAGGGGUAUCAUGCUCGAACAAAAAGGAAACCCAUAUACUGCAAAGAUACGUUUUUUAGACCUAUAUAAUACCUCGCGUACAAUUUGUUUUGGGGGGUUCCUCUUUCCGUUGGGUAAGAAAAGUACACAAAGAGCAAAAAGGUGAAAGAGGGAGUGAGGUGAAAAAAUAAAUAAAUAAAUAAAUAAAAACCCCCCACGCGACUGUUCAUCUUCAUCGCCGGGGGGGGGGGGAAGUCUCUGCCGGCGCCGUCGCCGGCUGCUGAGCCACCGGCCACCCAGAGUCGCAACGCCGCUCGCCGCCCGCAGAUCUGAACAGCAGCCGGCCCAGAUCCGACGCCGCCUCCGCCGUCGAUCUUGCAGCUCGCGAAGCCCCUCGCCGUUCCUCGACGAUCUGCUGUCGUCGCCGUCCAGCAGCCCGUGACCCAGCGCCUGACUCCGCCUGCGCCGGCCAACGCCACCUGUCCCGUUCGUCCACGAACGCCUCAGCAGAUUGCCCACCGGAGACCACAUCACCCCUGCUCGCCCCCCUACCGCCGCAACGCCUCUGUCACCGUUGCUCCGCCCUCCGCCGCAGCUGCUACCCGAGCGACUCCUGUAGCAGAUCUCCCUCCGUCGUCGCGACCCGGUCCCGCCUCGCCCGAGAUCCGCGACCCGCAGUUCUCGCGCCUGCAUCCAGUAGCCAGGCCCGCGAUCCUCCUCUGCUCCGACGUCUAGUAGGCCCGAUUCGCUGCUCCUGCUCCGCUCGCGAAGUCGCCGUCGUUGCCGAGCCCAGAUCCAGACGCCGGAGCUCCUCGCCGCACAGCCCCCUCUGCCCGCGAAGACCCAACGCCGCGACCCACUUGCUCCGCCAGCAGCCGCGCCCUCGCCGGAGUUCCUCGCCGGCGUUUUCCCCUCGCCGGAGUCCGUCGCCGGCAAUCCCCCUCGCUGGAGCCCCAAACCGGCAGCCAAUUUUUUUUUUUUUUGUUUAAAAGAAAAGGAAAAAAUCAAAUUAGGUAUCUUUGCUUUAUUUUAUUAGGCAGGUUUAUUUUAUCUUUUUUUUUAUAUAUAUUUUGGUUUCUUUGUUUGAAAUAUUUCUCUAUGCAUAAUUGGAAAUCUUAAUAUAUCACCCGAUUCGUAACCGUACUAGGAUUUAACGCUUUAGAUGGAAUAAUUAAUUAAGUGGGAUAUUAUUACCUUUCACCAAAAAAAAAAAUUAAUUAAGUGGGAAUAAAAUUGAUAUUUUGAUCUCUAAGGUUUAAGAUCAAUUUAUUGAUUUUACUAGUGAAAUAUUAUCCCUUGAUCUGAACGAUGUGUGAUAUUUUUUGGAUAAUUUUGAAUGGACUUGAUUGCUUUAUUUAUCUUGAAAUAUGCCUGAGUUAGAAUAUUGUAUGUUUUAGGAUUAUUUGCAUAUUUAGGCUAAGCAUUCUAUUUAUCAUGAAUUUUUGAAAAUAAAAGAAAAAAAUCAAAAUUCAAAUCAAUCAAUUUAGGUUGGUAGUUUUAAUUUGGAUUGCAUUUAAUUUCGAAAAUUAAUAAAAAAAAAUCAUCAUGCAUAUGUUAUAUAGAAUUAGGACAUAUUUAGCACGGCAUUGCAUAUUAUGGUUAAAUUGCACUUAGUUUAAUUUUGGAUAAUAUUUUUUCUUAAUUUAUUAUAAGUUUAUGUAUUUUUUUUUAUAGAUAUAUUGCACUUUAGGAUUAUUUAGUUUAAGAUAAUGUUUUAGUUUAAAUUAGGAUCAGGCUCAACCUAAUUCCUAAUAUAAAUUAAAUAGGAUCUUAAUCUAAUUAGGUAAUUUUCACAUUUCACCAAAUUUCGAAUUUCAUGAAAAAUACAAAAAAAAAAUGUCAUAGGUUAAAUUAGUUUUAUUAUUUAGGAUGAAAUGCAUUCUUUUGAGAAAAAGAAAAAAUGUCAUAUGCACGUCAUUAGGGUUAGAUUCAUUGAUAUGCAUGUCAUUUAGUAUUUUUGCUAGGCCCAUUUAAUUAGAAAUUACAUGUCAUUGGAAUUAGGUCAUUUAGUUAAUAUUACAUUGCAUAUUGCAUGAUUUUUAUUAAUUAAGUGAAAAAAAAGAAAUUGCGUACUAAUUAGAAAUUAUAUCUAGGAUUAUUGAUGUGGAUUUUAAUUUUUGCAAUUUAUUUAUUAUUUAUUUGGGUGUUAAAUUGGUGGAUUGUGCUUUUGAUCACCUCACAUGUUAAAGAAAUAGAUUUAAAAUCAAUCCAAACUACUUGCUAAACAUUUUUCAAAAUAAAAAGAAUGGUAUCGAAAGGGCGUUAGAGAAAUCUAGCAUAAUCAAGUCCUCGAACUCAUAAAUCUCUAGUUCAUAAGAGUAAAGUAAAUCUCCUAUUACUUUACUUGGAUUUCUAAUCGACCCACCAAAAAUAAAUUCCCCGAAUUCAUAAAUCUCUAGUUCAUAGGAGUAAAGUAAAUCUCCUAUUACUUUACUUAGGUUUCUAAUUAACCCACCAAAAAUAAAUUAGUAGCGACUCCUAAUUGAAGAUCAAUUGCAUGUUAAGAACUCGUACUUAAGUCGCGAAUUGAUAUAGGUUUGGGAGAGCCCGAGUUUAAUCUAUGCUUAACAAUCCAUUAGCCAAACCCUAGGUGGUUCACUCUGAAAAUUUGGUCGCAACACGAACCGAAAAGUUCGGUUUUUUCAAUUCGGUUCUCAUUCUAUUAAGAUAAUAUUGAAAAUCAAAACUUUUUUAAUCAAUUCGAUUAACCAAACCAAACCGAUAAAAUCUAAAAUUUUAAUCCACUCUUUUCUUAAUGUUUUUAAUUUAUUUUUUUAUUUUUAAAAUUUCUUUCUCUUUAUUUCCUCUAGUCGGUUGUUCAACCUCCGACGACGGGCCAAAGGCCAUGACCGGCAAGGGUUGGCCUCAUCAACCUUAGGCAAAGUGGCCCUCACUGGGAUUUGGCAAGGGGCAACCUUGCUAGCCUCAAGCAAGGCUCGCCCUAGCCAAGUCUGGUGUGGUUGAACCUUGCCAAAGGCCAAUGAGGGUCGGCCUCGCGGGCCUUAGGUGGGGUCACCCUCAUCGGGAUCUAGCAAGGAGGGACCUCGCCUGAGGCCGGCGAGGUCGACCCUGAGGUCGGCGAGGUCGACCCUUUGUCAGUCGUGGCCUCUGGCUAGUCGCCAGAGGCUGGGCAACCGCCAAAGGACAAAAAGAAAAAAAGAGAAGAAAAAAAAAGAAAUUUAAAAUAUAAAAACAAAAACAAAAGUAAAAAACUGAAUGGAGCCAAAUCGAAUCGGAUUUCGGUUUGGUUCAGCAAAUUUUCUUAUUGGUUAGAUUCGAUUCAGUUUUCCGAAAAAACCAAACCGAACCAAACCACUUACACCCCUAACUUUUAUAGCCAUUUUAUUGUUUGAAAAGGGAAGUCAUAUUUUGACUUCAACUUGAAUGAUUGCUUAUAAAUGGUUUGUAAAACCUUUUAUAAAGGUUUCUUAAAAAAAAUUAUGAUUAAUAUGGUUUGAAAAUGUGCUUUGAUAUCUAUAUAUCGAAUACUUGAAUUGUGAAUUAGUUUAUGAAAUGGAUUUUGAAUUGGUUUGGGAAAUUCAUUUUGAUAUAUGAAAUGAUUGGAUUUGCUUUUGGAUAACUGGAGAUUGAAUUGAUGGUGUAUGCUCAGUGUCUCUAUGACUAUUGAAGGGUGUGUGGGUAUGUGCAUAUUAAUCUAGGAUAUCCUUGCAAACCGAGCCAUCAACUAAUAAUAAGUGGAGACCUAACCAAGAGAGGGAAUUUUUGUCACCUUCUCAUUAGGCAAUGUGCCGUGACCAUGGUUCAAUGGAUGGACCAUCGCCGUAUGGUUUCAUAUGAGAUGGAUCAAUGGGAUAAACUAUUGAUAUGUGGCAUGAGAUUAAUCAAUAGAAUGGAUCAUUAACAUGUAUUUUUUUAUGAGAUUGAUCAAUGGGCUGGACUAUUGGUGUUUGCUUGUUAUUAUCUUGAAUAUUUCUACUUUGAACAUAUUAUGUUAAAGUAAGAAAUAUUGUAUUUUGGUCUUGAAGGUUUGUUAAAUCUCUAGAUUUGGCGAAAAUGAGUUAUAUUUGUAUUUUAAAUAUGCAUAGUGAUUACUUGAUUCGGCGAAAAUGAGUUAUAUUUGUAUUUUAAAUAUGCAUAGUGAUUACUUGAUUCGCUUGAAAAAACAUUUACUCAUUAGGCCAUGGUAGCUCAUUAAUUUCUUAUUAUCAUAUUUUUCAGGUGCCUCAGUUAGUGGCUGAUAGAACAAGGGCAUUAUUGCGGGAAUUAUUCGAAGUCGGAUAUUUGGGGUAUACUUUGAGGCUGCGUCUUUUGGAGAAAAUAUGGCCGUGUCACUCCUUCAUCCCUAUAGGAUUUGGGGCGUGACAUAUUUAGUGUCUCUUGCUUGUAAUAUCAAGAAUGUUAUUGUGAGUUAGUUUCCACUUGAUCUUCUACAAGUAAUAUCGGAGUGACGCCACACAACUCAACAUAUAAUUGAUGCUUGUGCUUUAGCAUCAGCUCAAUUGGCUUGUAGCUAGUCAUCCCCAAAGAGUUCUUGACGAAACGAAGUUUAACUUACCCAUAAAAGAGAAAAUUGAUAACUUCAUCUCUUAUCUCUAACAAAGAAAAAUUCUUUUAUUGUUUAUCAACUUUUGUUUACCUAUCUUACCAACUCAUAUAAAAAAAUUAGCAAUCUUUUUUAUUUAUGUGGUUUAGAGAAAUCUUCUUCAAUUAAAUUAUCAACUAAUUUUGCGUUACAAACUUCUAUGCAACUAGUUAACCAAGUAUCAUAUGUUCUUUCUUAAUUUACUUACUUUUCUCCUUAGUUUGUCACUUUUAUAUGAACUUCUUGGAAAUAAUAUAUAUAUAGAAAUUAUCAAUCAAGUAAUUAUCAGCUUUUCUCUCAUCAAGUUCUCAACUAAUCAACUCUUAUUUGAGUUAGACAUCAACAUUUAUUUUUUUCCCAUUAAAUUACCCUUAUAUCGAAAAUGCACAAUCUAGAGAGGUUGGAACAAUUUCGGCCUAUCAGCCUUGUAAUUUUGCUUAUAAAAUCAUCUCAAAGAUCUUGGCAAAUAGAUUAAAAUAGUGGCUACCUAACUUGAUAGCAACGGAGCAAAGUGUUUUUGUAAGCGGGAGACAAAUACAAUAUAACAUACUAAUAGUGCAGGAAGUGCUUCAUUAGCUACGUAUCCAAAAACAAAACAAAAAAAACAAAAAAGAAAUUUCAUGCAAUCUGAAGGUAGAUAUGAAGAAAUCAUAUGAUCGUGUGGAAUGGGAUUUUCUCAAAGCAAGCAUGCUCAAAAUGGGUUUCUGUAAUACUUGGGUCUCCUGGGUCAUGGAACGUGUCUCUGCGGUAUCAUUCAAUAUUAAAAUAAACGGGGAACCUUUAGCCUCUUUUAAGCCUACUCACAGUAUAAGACAAGGCGACCCCAUAUCUCCAUACCUAUUUAUUAUUGUGGCAAAUGUUCUAUCUAUGAUGUUGAAAAGAGAAAUGGAAAAUGGCAGUAUUAAGGGAAUUACACUGAACAGAUUUUGUCCAUCAUUAUCUCAUCAACUGUUUGCGAAUGAUUCUUAUUCUUGGAAGGAAAAAUGGUCGAAUGUCAAAAUGUAACUAUAAUCCUAAACCAAUAAUGCUUUGUGUCUAGACAAGCUAUAAAUUUGAACAAGUCAGGCACGCUCUUUAGUAAAGAUUGUCCAAGAGAACUGAGGAGUAACUUGACUAAAUAAAUGAGAGUACCAACUCUGGGAAAGUUAGGGAAAUAUCUCGGAAUACCUUCUGAUUGGGGUGGAUCUAAAAAGUAAAUGUUCGACUCGAUUCUUGCAAGAAUCAACAUGAAACUGGAGGGCUGGAAAGAGAACUUUUUAUCAAAGGCAGGGAAAGAAUUCUUCUUAAAAUUGUGGUGCAAGUUCUAUAGCAAUAUGCUAUGUCCAUUUUAAAAUCCCCCUAUCUAUUUGCCGAGCCAUUGAAAGAAAAAUAGUAGCUUUUUGGUGGAAAAAUAAUGAGAACAGGGCAGGUUUCCAUCGGAGAAACUAGGGCACUCUUAAAUCAAGAAAGAAUGAAGGUGGGCUAGGCUUUUGAGAUUUAAUCAAAUUCAAUGAGGCAUUAUUGGGUUGGCAAGCAUGGAGGCUAAUUUAGAAUCUGAAUUCUCUUUGGAGUCAAAUUUUCAAAGGACUAUACUUUCCGCACAUAGAUGCAUUAUAUGCAGAGAAAGGCUUAAGACCAUCUUGGGGUUGGCAAAGUCUAAUCUUGGGGAAAAAACGCUAUAAAUCAUUCAUCCCAGUGGGUGGUUGGGAAUGGAGAAAAAAUCAGCAUUAGGAAUGAUCAGUGGUUACCGAGAGGUUUAUUUGGAGGACUUACGAAUAGAGAUGAUCCAUUAUGACUUUCGGAACUUAUAAAUAGAGACUUUGCUACCUAGAAGGAAGACAGUGUGACAUCCUGAAAUCUAGGUUCUGCUUUCGAUCGAAAUAGUUGGGCAUUUCAUCGACGCAUUUAUAGUUCUUUUCCCUGAACUGAUCACUCAUGGGAUAACUAGUUUAUCGGGUGAAGCCGUUAAGGAAUUUUAACGCAUUAGACUUGAGAAUUCGAUCAGGAAACGACUGCUCGACCGUGCAAAUCUACAAGAGAUCAUUACGACACAGUGAGAUCGAUUAGAAAUCGGAUAUAGGUUGACUCGACAAAGGUAUGUGAUUAAGUGUGGGUGAUUCCACCUAAUUGCACAAUUCUUGUCGAUCGGUACUAGACCGAUUAUUCUGUCGUUUCGAUACCCCGUGUCCGUAUUUGAAACCUUGAGAUUUCUACGACAAUUGAGAGUCGCCAAUGUAUCGAAGAUGUACAUUGUGGCUUGAGAAUAAUCAACCACGGGUCAAAUGCAAGAAAAUUUCCUAAAAGCUACCCGGUAGAUUAGGACGCACUAAAUUCGCGUCGAAUUGAAAUUAACCGUGAAAUCGAACCCGAAUUCAGAAAUUGAGAAUUCUGUCAAGUCACAAUUCAUUUUAGGAACGUCGACUCAUCUCCGGAAGAUUUUUUCUACAACCGAGAUUUUUGGCGGAAAACUAAAGUAAUGCCGUUUUUGUUCGAGAUUGUCAAAGGGCCGUUUUUGAUCUAAUCUUUGGAAAGCAAGUUGGAUCAUUUGAUGGGGAAAAGUCAUAAGAAGGUUGAGGACACAUGGGUUAAUUUAAUUGAGCUUCAAUUGGAUGGAAUUGAUUGNNNNNNNNNNNNNNNNNNNNNNNNNNNNNNNNNNNNNNNNNNNNNNNNNNNNNNNNNNNNNNNNNNNNNNNNNNNNNNNNNNNNNNNNNNNNNNNNNNNNNNNNNNNNNNNNNNNNNNNNNNNNNNNNNNNNNNNNNNNNNNNNNNNNNNNCCCCCCCCCCCCCCCCUUUUCCUCUCUCUCCUCCCUCUUUCUUCCCCGUCGCCCCCUUCCUUCCCCUCUCUUCUUGCUCGACGGAACCGAGCAAACCAGCGAAGCUGGAGGAGUCGCCGCCCCUCGCCGCCGUUCGCCGCUGCGUGCCGUCGGAGCAGCCGCGCCCUGGCCGCUCGCCCUCCGUCUCCCCCUUUCCUCUCCCAUCGCGGUCUCUCUCCUCCACCUCUGGUUCUUGCUCGAAGACCCAGCGGAUCUGAGGACGCCGGAGCAGCCAGCUAGCUGCUGGACCGCCGCCUCACGCCUCCGCCCUCCACCGUUCGCUGCCGAGCUGCACGCCGUUGCCUCGGCGCUGCCCCGCUCGUCUCGGCCUCCCUCUCGCCCAGCUCUCAGUUUCAGCGAGCUGUCCAGCUCGUCCCAGCUGCUGUGGACCACCGCCGGAGCUCCUACCGCCACCGCCUAGGUCUGGUUCGGCCUCCUCCGUCCAUCUAAGCCCUUGCAUGUCUCAACCGAGCUUGGAUCAGCCUCUUUCUCGGCCUCAACCAGCAGCGAACGGGGAGGAGAAAAAUGGGUAUGGCAGCGGCUUCGUGGCCCGUUUUGGCCGGCUUCCCGACCCCGGAAGCUAGGCCCGCUUUGGAGUGAAUCGAUCCCCUCGGCGUCCCCGUCGAUUUGAGCCGCUCGGAUCGCUAAUCGGGUGAGUUUAACUCACUAAUCCCCGCUUAGUAGAUUAAUCACGUUUAAGGGGUGUUUAGAUUAAACUAAGUAGGUUUAGGUGGUUAGAUUAGUUUAUUUAAAUGUUAAGUGGAUUAAGGGAUGUGAUUAGUUUAGUGGACAAUUAAUUAAAGUUAAGAAAAUGUUUGGAUUAAAGUAAUCUUGUUUAAGCCUUAAUUAAUUAUUUUAAAUUAAAUAAUUAAUUCGAAAUUGUACUAUAAUAAUAAUAUAAUAUAAUAUUAUUAUAUUUACUUUUCGGAAUAAAUUUAAUUAUUUAUUAUUUUCCGGAAAUUUUGAUCGGGAUUGUCGGUGACCGGAAUUUUAUGCUGAUGAUCGUGGUGAAGUCCGUUUGUUUAAUUGAGCUCCGAUUUGAGCUAAAUUGAAUUUAUUGUAAUUAAUUAUUAAAUUUCGAAAUUAAUUAAUAAUUAAUUAAAAUUCGGAAAUUAAGAUUUAGAAGGCCGACGACCGAAAUUCCGUGCUGAUUAUCUUAGUGCAGUCCGUUUAUUUAUUUGAGCGUUAAUUUGUGCUGAAUCGAAUUAAUUGUGAAUUUAGGAUUUAUUCUUAAAUUAUCUGAUUUUGGUUUAGUGAUGGAGAAAUAACCGGGCGUCGGUUUACAGCGCCAAAAAGAUGUAAUGGGCUAAUGAAAUCGGUGGGAUAUCUUUAAGUAAAAUUAUUAUAUUUUGGCUAAGGCCAACCGUGUACCCACACACGGCUAUUUAUCGUGAAUGAUAAAAAUGAUGAAUUGACUAUAUGGUUGGAGUGGUAUAUUAUAUCGGCCUUCGGGCGAUAUGUCAGCUUUGGGUGAGCAGUAUACCGGUAUACUAUAUUGACCUACGGGUGAUAUGUCAACUUUGGGUGAGCAGUAUACCUUAUUAUCAGCUUUGGGCGAGCAUAUAUAGUAUACUAAAUUGGCCUGGGGGCCCUAAUUUAUCAGCUUUGGGCGAGCAUAUACAUAGUAUACUAUAUCUAUCAGCUUUGGGCGAGCUAUGCUAUCUAUUAUCAGCUUUGGGUGAGCAGUUAUAGACUAUGGUCGGACUUUAUAGAUAGUAUUGAAUGUACCGGCCAGGGAAAGGUCGUGGUGACAUGUAAUCGAUUAAGUCGAUUGAUCGCUGAGUCGAUCUGAUUGGUGGAAUGUAAUUGUUUGCUGUAGUUAUCGAUAUUAUUAGUUGAACUAAAGUGCAGGAAAGGAACUGAUGCCAAGGUAAGCCCUUUGACCUGUGUUGUGCUUAGGCAGCCCUUAUGGCGUAUUGGCUUCCUAAUUGGGUCUUAGUGGGGUAGAACUCGCUGAGACAUAGUCUCAUCCCAGUUUGGGGAAAAAUAUUUCAGGUUCCUAGAUGACGAUCGUGGAGGACCGGAAGUCCUGAAGUUCGGAAGGUGGAGGCUGAAGAAUCGGCAAAUGGGUCUGACUAGUGGAUGUUAAGACAGUCCCCUUUUUGAUAAGCCGUUAAUUUUGUAAACAGCCUAAGUUUGUAAUUAACCAGUUUGCUUAUAAAGACUCGUCUUGGGUUGAAAAAUAUGAUCCUACUCUUCUAUCCCAUUGUUUGAUUGUCUGGGGAUUUUAUUAAGCUUCCGCAUGCGUAUAUAAAUGAAUGGGUCGGCGACCUUCCUGGGACGUCGCAAAUAAAUCGACCGAGUAAGGGAUGGGCGCGCGCCCGAGGAUCGGGGCGUGACAGACAGAGUACUAGAACUUUUUUACCACAAAGUGUCUAAAGAAAUUCUAGCCAUCCACCUUAACCCCCAAUUUUCAGAGGACAAAUUGGUAUGAAAGCCAACAAAAAUAGGCCAAUUUACAGUCAAGACUGCAUAUAAGAAGGUUAAGGCACGAGGAGAAAUUCAAAAGCAAAACCAUGCCUCGUCGUCUUAUCAAGUACCACAAUCAUUGUGGAACAGAAUAUGGAAUGCCCAAAUUCAACCCAAAGUCAGAUCAUUCCUACGGCAAAUUUGUCAAAACACAUUAGCAACAAAGGAGAAUUUAUAUCAUAGACAUAUUAUACCUAAGGCCACAUGCAUGAUCUGCAACAAAUAUCCAUAAUCGGUCGAGCAUCUCUUCCUACUCUGACCAUGGACAAACCAAAUCUGGGAUGGCGCUAAAGUGAAAAUACAAAAAGAUGGUCACAGGGUAACUCAAAUAGAGGAAGGGCUGGCAAAAUUUCAACAUACCUCAGUUAACUAGCCCUCUUACUAUGGCAGAUCUAGAAAUCCCGCAACGAUUGGUGUUUUAGAGCUAAACCAUUGAGUCCUCAGCACAUAAUCACCUCAGCAACGGCCAUGGAAGAAAACUUCAAUAGGUGGGUGGGAAAACUGACCAAAAUGCGGACUUCCCCAACUCAGAUCUGGACUCCUUCGACGCACGACUCACCUUAGACCUGGACUCCUUCGACGCACGGCUCGCCUCAGAUUUGGACUCCUCCGACGCUCGGUGUGCUCAAAAUCAACUUCGAUGGUUCUUUUUUUUCAAGAAACAAGGGAAGCAGCUGUAGCUUGCGUUUGCCGAGAUAGCAUAGGCGUCCUCGUCGAUGGACUAGCACGCAUUGUUAGAGCUUCUUCAGCAAUCUAGGCAGAAGAAGCACAAGCUGUGUUACAAACCCUAAAGUACUUUGAAGGGAAAGAAGAACUGCAGAUGGAGUUGGAGUUAGACAACUUUGAACUGGCGAAGGCUUUGGUGGAAAGUACACUGCAGGUCAACUGGGAAAUAAAUGCGUUGAUAUUUGAAGUGUAGGCACAUGUUAAAACUUUCCCAAAUCUGAAAAUAACUCAUUACCGAAGAAAAUGCAACAAAGUGGCGGACUGGGUCAUCAAGGCCCAUCGGAGGAAGGCCCUUCCAGCUAAUUGGGUUUUUUUAUCCCCUUCUUGUCUUUUGGACUUGUAAUGUUCUAAAGUUUGUGAUUCUACUACUCAGACUCUUACUUAAAUGAGAAUGCUAUAAACCCUUUCUCGACUAAAAAAAAAAAAUGCGUACCCGAGUAUUUGCGGUGUCAUGUCGUCCGUCUACAUAUGAUCAGCUACGUGGGCGGGUGAUAUCUACUGAAGUGCCCGCUCGCUCGAGCGAUAGAGAACUUGACACAUACGACCCAGCAGCACCUGCGGUCUUUGAAGCCGACGAUGAGCUUGAAUUGGACGCUUCUUCAUACAUUUGAAGUGAUUAAAGAUGAGAUAUUUGGCUUAACGCCUCAAGAAAGAAAAGAACUUGAUUGACCCAUUGAGCAGAAAAAAGAUACUAAUUCGAUUUCUCGAAAGAUUUGAAAAAGGUUAUAUGUGAUUCCGAAUGAGUUUAAGCUACACGGACCUCCAUUGAAGCUGAAUUCCCAGAAAUAUCAUCAAAACGAUUAUGAAAAACAAGAGGGUACUCCUAGCAAAAAAAGCAGAGACAGAGAGAAUCUGGGCUCGUCUGGGCUCAAGGAAAGCACUCUUGUUCCUUUUCGGUCGCAAAGUUUAGAGAUUUUUCUUUUUCUGGGAUUUCAACGAGGCGUGUAGAUUGGACAACCAUGUUAUCGUCUGAUUCUUGGUUAUUUUCGGUGUCCUUGAUUUGAUCAUAUGCGUGGGUUGUGGAGUAUCAGGAGUGCUUUACGUAGAAGGAAUCGCGAAGUUGGUGUGAACUUUCUGUACCUUGAACAAGAGAUGCGUCUCAUGGAGAAAUUGAUCCACUUCGAAACAUAUUUCCCUCAUCUUUACCUCAACUUGUGUAUUCAAUGGUCAUGAUUGUUGUUAGAGUCGUGCACGCGAAGAUUAUGGCCUAUGAGACUGAUCGGUUCCCAGUCUAGCUCCCAAAUUCUAAGACUAAGAACCGGACUGACCGACCAGUCCAGUCCGGUCCGGUGGAACCGGUACUUUGUUAUUUGAGGACCCAAAAAAAAAAUUUGCAAAAAUGCUCUACUAAUUUUUAAAACUUGCAAUGCCCAGCUUUUAAAGUCUCGAGCUUUGAUUUUUUCAGUGGUUCUUCACUUCUUCUCAGCUUGUGUUCAUCGGAAAAGGAAGGUAAAGCAUAAAGCGAAAACUAAAAGGGGAAGGUAAAGGAAAAGGAGGGGAAAGCAAAACUAAAAGGGCAAAGGGUUUUUUCUCAAUUUUUUUUAAUAUAUAUAUUAGCCGGUUUGAUCCGGUCAGUGCGAUUCCCAUCUUGAAACCGGGAACCGGACCGCCCAAAAUCGAUCGGUCCGGUCUGGUCCAGGCGGUCCUCGUUGCACACCCUUAAUAGUCAGUUAAUAGUCAGGAUGACAUUCGUUGUCUGCAGUACCUUGCAUUACUAGCAUAGGCUUUUAUCGAUCCUCCCGAUUGGAUCUGCCGAGUUUGGCACGGGCGAGGUAGAUGCAACAAAGUCAACUACAGAUCAAAACUAUGGCUGUUGAAAUGGAAGACUGGGCCAAGCGACCCCCUCCUCAAGUUCUGCGACCUGCAUUGUUUGGCAACACUCGACUGAAGAGUCAUAGGACCGCACACGAUCACGCCAAUAUCAACAUUGCCCCAGCGCUCGGACACUGAUUUAAAGAUUUCUGCGGAGAGUAAUAGGAAAAAUAUUAAUGCACGGGAUCCCAUUGGUCCAGCAUAAGCAUCAACAGUACUCGGUUCUUUAACUACUAAUGAGAUCACUCGACUCGAAACAAGCAAAGAACAUCUCCCGAAUGACAUGGCAAAGAAUACCUUCAAAGUUCGGUCUAGCUCCGUAAUGUAUACUCCUUGAAACAGAGCGAUAUUCUGGGGCGAAGUUGUCCUGCAUUAUGUUUGUGUGGACACUCUCACUCUGCUGCGGCCUGUUGUCCUUCUCAGCAUCCUCAGCUUCCUCUGCAGCAAGAACUGUUUUUUCCCAGCGAUGCCAGAAAUAGAUGACAGGGCCUCCAAAUAGGAUUACACUGGCAAGCAUGCACACUACAAACAGGAGGCCUCUGUACCACCAUGUGACUAUGUUAAAAGGAUUUAUGUAGAAGAUGUCCAGCAGGGCCAUCAAUACAGUAAACCCGAUCACGGAUGAGAUGAUAUAAAGUCCAGACCAAAUACUGUUUCCCGUCCCAACUAGAACGGACAUGCCUCUUCCCCUUAAUAGAGAAGACACGGAACAGGUAAAGCCCUCGCUGUUGUUACCUUCCUCCUGCAUCAUAACCACACUUAACUCUAUCAGAUUGUAAAAUUAAACUGGAAUAGUAGAGAAAACUUCACUGGUCUGAGGUAAAUUGUGUGUCGAAGGCACAAGUCAAAUUUACCAAUGGAGGAUCUGAUUCCCGAGUGACAUAAACACAAACUUCAAGAUUAAGUCUAUCUGAAAGGUUAGGGCAGAUCAAGUCCAUAUCCGCAGUGGAAAGUAGAUGAAGCUCAUCGGACUUUUUGAUGGCCCAAAUGACAAUGACAUUCUUUGGUAAGCAUGGUUUCCCUUGCUUUUUGAGAUGGAGCAUGUCACCCAAGAUGGCCAAAAAGGGGGCGAUCCCACUGCCACCGGCUACUAGAAUGAGGUUUUCAUAUCUACCAGAGAAAAUUGUUCAAGUAAGAAUCUGCUGAAAAGCGGGUGAAAAUAGUCAUAAAGUGAUGAAUGUGUGGUCCCGAUGGUGAAAAAUCAAACUCAAUUGGCCCAAACUUUAGAUACUUAUUUUGAAACACUCAUUUAAGGAUUGAAUAUGCUACUUCAGACGAGAAGGGUCCAAAUUUGCCUAGUUUUACUCAUCACUAGUAGUAUGAUUCAUGCUCUACUGCUUUUUGCCAUCGUUAUGGAAGACGUGUCCAGCCAAAUAAUAACACUUACGUCAGAUGGUAAGGUAAUUCGUGCCCGUAAGGGCCUUCUAUAGAGGCCUUUAUUUUGGAACAAGAUUGGUUGGGCAGCGCUCUUUCUCCUUCUGCACCGUACAUAUGGGAUACAUUGCUCUUCAAUUUGUCUGUCCAUUCCCCUACGGCCUUCACGAGAACGGAGAUACGAUUAUCCCCUGCCGAAGGACUAGAAGAAACACUGAAAGGAUGCCAUUGAAGCCAGGACAAUUCCCUGAUCUGAAGGAAGAUGAAGCUCAGUGCAUUGUACCUCAGAUCUGCAUUGCCAGCGGAAAGCAACUAAAAAACUUGAUUUUUGGAAAGGGUGUACAAGCAAUUUAUGAAAGAUCCACAGAUGAAAGAAAGAAAACCAGAAUUAUCAGUACUUGCUGGCUUUGAGAAAACCAACUCUACAGUUCCACAAGGGAGGCACGUCACAGAAAUUACGUCCACAGUCCUUCGUGAUUGGCAGAAUCUCAGAAACCGGUCGAUCACGAAAAGGAAAAUUCCUCCAGCAGCUAUACUAAAUAUGAAAUCUCCAACGUGCAAAGCCAAAAAGAGUACAAAGACAACAUAGAGUUGGUGUGUGUAGAAGAAUAAUUCGAACUGCUUCUUCCUCACUGGAGGCAUUGAUGUCACCCACAUCAGCAGACCAGCCGAAAUAGUGAUGACACCGGGUAGAUUGGAAAUACCAUCAUCCGUCCACUCUACUAUCUGAAUAAAACAUUGUCAUUCGUGAAUCAAGAACUUCAGCAUAACCAAGUGCGGCUACAUGUCUACAUUGUGCAAAUUCCCGAGAGAUAUUUGAUUGGAGCUAUAGAUAGUUUGUGCAUGCAUUCUCAUCUUGUGUUCUGUCAUGACUUGCAAAGAUGGUGCUUAACUUCUUCAACAGGAAACCGAACGAAAGAUAAAGAUGUAGCUGACUGGAGAGGGGAAAAGAAGAAGAAGAAUGAUAACUAGUUCAGCGAAAGCACGAGUUCUGGGGCGUACUUUAUCUAGCAGAACACCUUGCAUCACCCAUAUAAUUAUGUAGCAUAGCCCGUGGAGAGUGAUAAAGCACAUUGUGAGAUGUCCGAGCCAGAUAUGAUACCGGGUUGCUUGCUCAAAGGGGAUGUCUAUGAUACGAAGAAGAACAGAUCCCCUAGUGAUUGGGAGGAAGAGAAACGCCAAGCAGUACAUCACGAUGGAACCAAGGUGGAGUCCUGAACGUUCCAAGAUCUCCAACCUGCAGAAAACGAUCAAAUACAUAGCGGAAUGGCCUCGUUUAAUAAGAAUCGAAAAGAUGCAUGCCCCAAUAACUCAUUUACACUCGAGAUUCUCGACACACGCAGUCAAAUGAUAGACCGGCCAUCUGUUUAAUCCUCGAUGGAAAAAGCUAAGUGAAUUAACAUUACCAUUUACCGUCGGAAGGUGCUUGGAGCCCCUCCCAUAAAUGGUCGAGAAUGUCUGUGGCGUAAGCGCACACAACCCACAAAGCAAACAAAACAAAGAGGCAAAUCCCAACGAACUCAGCUGCCGAGACUACUCCGAGUGGUCCACUGACCAGGACGGGAAAUGUCCGCAACCGGAACCUUGGUCGUUUUCUAGACUCAUACCUGACAUCUCAUGUUCGGUAGCAAUGAGAGAUUGAAUUUUUGUACAAAAAAAGAAUGCAGCAACAAAAAGGUACAUGGAUCGAAGGUUCGAUACUACCAUUGGAGCUCCUUCUCUCCGGCAAUGUUGAGACUUACUAUGGCAAGAAAUGCGAUGAGGAGAACCGGACCGCUGAACACCAAGAAUAUGCUCCCUGCAGGGGUUUUUUUAAGAGCCAAACAUGCGGUGACAAUGUUUGCUAGUAGGCCAAGUUCAAGAUCCACGAAAAAUCAUCAGAAAGAUGAACCUGUGAUCCCGUAAAUGCUUCCGCUGGCUACUUUAGUCCAAUUCUCGAGGUACAUAUUCCCGGCAGAGUCCAAGGGGGAUAUGAGCAUAACCACGACCCAGAAGCCAAAGACAAGCCACAUUGCGACGCCGAGAACCAGUCUGAAGAAUGCGGCAAAGGUGGAACGACAUGGCUUCUCGUUCUCACCAUCGGCAAGGCUUGGCAGCAGAGGUUCAUCAGCAGAGUGCUGUGCAUUGGCCAUCGGAAGUGUUGAAGACGGAGGGUACUCUUGAGCAGCCUAAGUAGACAAAUACGUAGGAAUUCACAGAGAACGGAUGAGUGACCCUCCAAAUGUUAGAAAAUGAAGCAAGUGAUCGUCUAAAAUAGAAUAAGCCAACUGGCUAGAAUAAAAUAUUCUCUUAACCUCGUUUAGGAAUCACAGUUGUUAAUCACAAAAAUGUAGCUACCUAAAUCACGUGAUAUAUAGUUACAACCAGCGAAAUAAACAAAUGGGAAAAGCGCUCUCUAUUUGCACGUCAAGUCAAUUUCCCUCUGAUACCUUAAAUUAUCCAUCUAUUCGGUCAACGUAAGAAUUAUCGUUGGAUGUCCAGACAAACUCAGAAGAAACUGAGAAGCUACGGUGGUCUGGUGCAUUGCUAUCAGCAUCAUCGUCCUCAAAAAGUCAGCUAACGGCCACCUGCACAUGUGGAGGAACUCGUGGGAUGCUUUUCCAAGAUUACCGGAACGCACAAGAGGACACAAAUAUGUUGGCAACGAAAUCACGGGCAAUUUUGUCAUACCAUAAGUCGAGCGAAAAAAAUAUAGAAUUUUCAUGGAAUAUUCUCCACAACUUUGGCCAAAAUAUCCCACGUCCAAAAGCUCAACCCCACCAGGUCUCACGAAUCAUCUUUCGCAUAAUAAGAGGAGUCGAUCUUGGCAAAUCAUCAGAAAAGCAAUCUCACGUUUUCAGCUACUGACCAUGGAAAGAUCAGGAGCUCAGAGUGACGAGGACGGAGUGAAUUCUCAUUCCUUCGUAGACACCUCUGGAUUGCUUGGGAUUCUUUCGGAAAAAUUGAAAUUAUGAGGGGAAUCAAUGAGAUUUGUUUGGCAAUAUGGAAAGAAUGGACACUCAUUCGAAUAUUGGGCGUUCAUGCACAAGGUCUAUGAAAUGAUCGAGCGGAGAGGAAAUUAAAGGAAAGAAUAAGACAAUAAUUCUGGCUGUGAAAUCGUAAAUGAUAGUGAGUGAAUCUGGACACGUUCGCGGCAAUAUAAGUGAAUCAGAAAAGGAAAAGAUUGUGAAAGAAGGUGAGGGACGCAUACUUGAGAGUUGAGAGAUUUAUUGUGACAAAUCAAGGCUAAGAUUUGGCAAUCCCCACGAAGAGGAGGCACACACCCUCAGACAUCUCAUGUCCGCUAUCUCGAGAAUUCUUCGAUUGGGCUAUGGUGUUGGCAGAUGUCCUGCGUUCAUCUCACUUUGUGGAUAUUGACGACAAGCAUAAAGCUAAGUCAAGCAUUUUUUUUUCAGUUUGAAUGUGUGAAAUUCCAUUUUGCUAUUUAAAUUAUUUAUUAAUCUAUUUAUUUUCGUGUUUUCAUUUCUUGUCCGGAUUAAGCUCUGAAAAGAGGAUCUCAUGAAGAUUCACAUCUCCGUGUCAUUCAGCAAGCACUCUCGCGAUAUCUUCUCUCGACAAUGCUCAACAUAUUCACAAGAGGUCAUCGGAGAUGGAGCGCCGUCGAUGCAACCAUUGACGCUGCAGCGCCAAGCAAGCCUGAGCCGCACCAGACUUCGUCCAGUACACUUCCUCGACCCUCUGGAGCCUCUACCGGCAGUCCCAACAUUCUAGAUCAGUCGCGCUCAGCCCCAUCGCAAUCAUCAAGAUUUCCAAGCUAGCCUUGCAACACCAGUGGAAUUUCCAGCAAAUUCUAAAUCUACUAGUAACUUGACGAGUCUCCCAAUAGUUCCGUAAACUCACGCCGAGUUUUCGUUUGUUCUUGCAGGCUUUUCCAGCAAAUCUUCACUGAGGAAGUGUGGCUGCUCACCCAUAUCUAUAUGAAUUCCCCAAUCAGCUGUCCUCGCCUUGCUUGUGGUUUACUUUGACUGACCUUAAUUGGUUUGUGCAGGUGUAUGGGUUGUUGUUUAACCUUCCAUAAUGCAUUGGCUCCAUCAUUUUUUAUACACGAUUAAGCUUAAGCCGAUUGGGUUCUAUUCAAUUAUCCCCUAUAUUGACCAAGGCAUAUUGGCUUUUGGACCUUUAGACACUAAGAUUGAAUCCCGGUAUUGUUUUGCGUGGCUUGCUUUAGUUGAUCCGAUUUAGCUCGUCAUCAAUGAUGUGAUUAUUUCUAAUUAUAAUGUGUAUUUUAAUGCAUUGUUAUCGCAUGUCAUUGUUUCAUACAUGUCUAGAGUUUAGAGUGCAUUUCUCAUUUAAAGUUUUUUUUAGUUAGGCGAACACAUGUUAAUUAGAGUACAUAUAAAUUUACGAUAAUCCAUAAUUUUCAUUAAAAAAACAAUCGAAUGAAAUGUCAUUAGAAUUAUGUAGAUUGCAUGUAGGUUUAAAGUUAUUUAGUCUCAUAGCACGCAUAUCAUUCUUGCUCGUCAUUUAGUGACUAGUGCAUAUAAGUCAAUUUCCUUUUAAUAUAAGAGUCUAGGACUUAUCCUUGUUUUUGUUAAAUUAGGCAUGUUUAUAAAAAAUGAAAAGAAACAUAAUAGACCGCAUGUUAAUUAGUUAGAAUUUCAUGCACAAUCAUGCAUAACAUGCAUGCCUUCCGUCUGCAUCUUUUUAAUCACAAAUGUAGUAACUUUUGAUGGUGAAUAAUAAUAUAUUUCUUUGUUGUGUACGUUCAGAUUCUUGAAUUCUUUUCUACAAUCUAUUCAUAGUUUUGAUUAUCAGAUGUUAUCUCAUUGAUUGCGCACUCGCGUGGUCAUAUCUUACAUAUUAGUGGUGGCACAGUAUAAAAAGCAGUAGAGAUUACAUGCAAAACAUUUUCAAAAUAAAGAGAAAAGGUACCAAGUCCCCGUACCCAAGAAUUUUUGGUUCGUGGAAGUAAAAUGUACUAUCGCAUUUUAUUUGGGUAUCUAAUCAAUCCAAAAUCGAUUAGUGGUGGCUCCAAUAGGUAAAAUAAUUUGAGUACCAAGUUGCAAUUCGUAGGACUUGGGAGAGUCCGUGCUAAGCAUUGCGCUUAGCAAUCCAUUAACUUCCUCCGGGAAGGUCGCAACACACUUAAAUAAAAAAAAGAUUGCUAAUUUCAUAUAAUGGUCGGUAGAAUGGGUAAACAAAAGUUGAUAAACAAUAAAAGAAUUUUUCUUUGUUAGAGAUAAGAGAUGAAGUUAUUUAUUUUCUCUUUUAUGGGUAAGUUAAACUUCAUUUCAUCAAGAACUCUUUAGGGAUGACUAGUUACAAGCCAAUCGAGCUGAUGCUAAGGCACAAGCAUCAACCAUAUGUUGAGUUGCGUGGCAUAACUCUAGCUCAUAAUUUACAAGCCAAGUGAGCUUAUGCUAAGGCACAGGUAGAGGUGUCAAAAUGGGUAUACAACCCAUUUAUGGACCCAUAUUUGUUUAAAUGAAUUGUUAAUAGGUCAACCCUUAUUUUCCAAAGCACCCAUAAUGGGUUUUAAAAUAAAGAGAUUGAAAUAUAUGGGUCUUAAAUGGGUCUAAUCUGUAUCCAUUUAAAACCCAUUUAUCAAUUCAUUAAAAAUGAACCCAACAAUCUCCCUCUUCAUUUCCACCUUUCCGUUUCCACCCUUCCAGGCUUCCACGAAUCUAAUUUGCCGCCACCUCCAUUGCCUAUUGCUGCCUUGCCACCACUGAUCGCUACCGAUCUGGUGAGACUCAAACUCGCCGACGUCAGGCGAGGCUCAAGCCUCACCGAUCUAGCGAGCCUCAAGCUCGCUGUCAUCAGGUGAGCUCGAGCUUGCCAGAUCUGGCAAGGCAGAGACCUCGUCUACAUCCAGCAAGGCUCGAGCCUCGCCGGCGUCAGGCGAGCUCAAGUUUGCCGGAUCUGACGAGCCUUGAGCUUGCUGGCGUCGGCGAGCCCGACGAGCUCGAUGCUCGCCUGUGGCCGUUCACCAGCCAUUGUCAUGGUCGGCGGCCAGCCAAAGAAAAAAAAUAAGAAAAAAGAAAAUUAAAAUUAAAAAUUAUAUUCUUAAUUUUAAAAUUAAUUUUAAAAAAUUUAAAAAAAUAAUUAAAAUUCGAUUUUUUAAAAUAGUUAUUUAAAAAAAUUAUUCAUUAAAUUUGUGUUAUAUAAAACUAUAUUAGCAAUAUCAAAAUAUAUGUAUAAAAUAAGCUUUCUUAAGUUUAAUUAAAUGGGUUGGGUAUGAGUUGAGUACGGGUCAAAAUUUUUAUACUACAAUAAAUAGGUCAAAAGCGGGUUAAAUAGGUCGAUUUGGGUCGGACCGUUUAUGACCCGAGCCAAACCCGACUCAAUCCACCCGUUUAACCACUCUUUAUUUUUCUUCUUUGCUCAAGUUAACAAGGAUAGCAUCCCUAAGGGAUACUUACACCAACGAAGCACAAGGGGAGUGCUCUACAUGAGCUCAACGUGGCCUAUUCCUCAACUAUAAUUUAUACCUACUCUUUGAAAUGUGGUUCUUAGCUACUUAUGCCACCUAACACAAAAGAGACUCUGAACAUUACAAGCAAAAGCUACCUACUUAGAUAUUGGUCCUAGAUAAAUGUUCUUAGCUACUUAUGUCACCUAACACAAAAGAGACUCUGAACAUUACAAGCAAAAGCUACCUACUUAGAUAUUGGUCCUAGAUAAAUGUUCUUAGCUACUUAUGUCACCUAACACAAAAGAGACUCUGAACAUUACAAGCAAAAGCUACCUACUUAGAUAUUGGUCCUAGAUAAAUGUAGAACAACGAAGAGAGAGAGAGAGGCGAUGCUUGCUUCAACAAUUGUUGACACCUAAAUUUUGGCGAUUCGGUCAUUUAUUUAUCAUAUAGAAAAUUAUGAGUUAAUUUUAUCCCUGAAAAAAAAUAUUAAUUGCAUAGCAUAUAGAUUUAGGUGCAUUUAUUUUUAAUUUGUAUGUUUUGCAUUUAUUUAUUGGACCGGUGGUGGAUGGGUUCAAAUUAAUGGUUCUGAGCUUUAACUUGGCAAGCCGGAUUAAGCCCACAAAGCGAGCAAAUUGGCCUAAGCCCGUUUUAUUUAAUGAUAAGAAAUUAUCUGGUGAAAAAUAAAAAUUUGAAAAUUUUCUAGAAUAUGAUGGAUUUUUUGAUAGGGCAAGUGGAAAAGCAAAUAUUGCGUUCGGCAAAACGAAUAUUGCAUUUGGAAAAAGAAUUUUUGUGAAUAUUGAUUUAGGACAAUUAAAAACCCUAAUCGGUGGUCUAUAAAAAAGUAAAACGCAUAGAGUUUUGAAAGCCUCGUCACAUUGAAUACAUGGCUACACAAUAUAGAGAGAACGGCAAAGAUGUAUUGAAGACUGAAGAGGGUGAUGAAACGGGUGUUGUUCGUAGUCAUCCUCGUGAGUGCGAUCUGACAAUUUAAUUAGACGUCCACUCACAAAAGGAGACUACGAUCUCAACACAAAAGCCACGAGAAAGAAAGGCAGCUAGGCCUUUCUCCGCGCCGCACCCACGACAAACCCAGGAGAUCCUCGUGACGCCGACCUACGACAUCCUUGCAACUAUCUGCGAUGACGAUCGAGCCCGCUGCCUCAUCCCGCGACAGCUCGAACCGACGUCGAUAAUUUUGCUGUGCCUCGAAGCCAUCGAGCGUCACCCACUCCAACCGAGCUUUUGUCUUUCACCUCUUGCAGCGUUUGCAGCGCUGUGUUUCAUCGUGCAUGGCACCGGUUGACAUGUCACCAAACCUGGCUCAAAUUCUUUGAACUCUUCGGUGAAUUAUUUGCAGGUUGGCCCGCGAAGAUCGUGACUUGGUGUGACCUUCAGUAAGAUCCAGCAAAUUCACGAGUGCCUCCGCAGUGAAGUCUUAGUGGGCUUUUGGUCACCACCAAGCCCAGCAAAUCUAGUGCUACUCCAAUCCACGAUUCUUCUUUCUUGCAGAUUUGUUGACUUUCAUCAAGCAUGCGAAUUUUAUCGAGGUGUGGAUUUCACAAGCGAGAGUUACCACACCGUGAGCUUCGCUGCUUCCUUGGUCUUGCUGAGAAGUAUAAUAAUUCCUCACGCGGGAGUCCAUUGUUGGUGAACAUCCAUCGCUGCUUGCUUGUACGAACACUCCCAUCGCAGCAAUCCUUUACUGAGAAGCACAUUGCGCCGAAUCUCGCCCGCCAACCAUUACCGGUUGUCCUUGAGUUGAUUUCAUUGAGUUCAAAUUUGAUAAUAUUAUUUUGCGGAAUUAGGUAUUAUCUUAUCUAAAUUUGAUUUAGAUAUUUUAUUGCUCUUCAAUAAUUUACAUACUUAUUUGAAUGAUAAGUGUAUUUCCAAUUAGGGUUUAUUGCCUAAUUCACAACCGUACACGAUUUUUUAUUCCAUCUAUAAGGCUUUAGAUGGAAUAAUUAAUCACGCGGAGUAAAAUUGAUCUCUUGAUCUUUAAGAGUUAAGAUCAAUUUAUCAAUUUUAUUAGUGAAAUAAUCAAGUUUGAAUUUAAAUUCGAAUGAUGGAUAACAUUUUUGAUGAACAUGGAUGAUUUGGUGUUUAUCUUUUAAUUGUUUUGUUUAUCCUGAAAAUACAAAAAAAUUGCAUUUGCAUUUCAUGUAGAUUAGAAUUGAUUGCAUGAUAGGUUAGUUAUUUUUUUUUUAAAUGCAUGUUUAGAAGGCAUUUAGAAUUGAUAAUAUCUCACUUUAGUUAGAUUUUUAUUUUUAGGGAUUUUAAUUACGAUUUUUUAUAUAAAAAAAUACAAAAAAAAAUCAUGUGCUUGUCAUUUAGGAUUAGGUUCAUGAAAUGCCCGUCAUUUAGUGAUUGUUGCUAGGAUUAUUUAGUUAGAAAUUGCUCAUCAUUAUAAUUAGGUCAUUUGGUUAAUUUAGAUUGUAUAUUUAAUUGUUGCAUUUCUUUAAUUUCAAAUUUCAUGGAAAAUACAAAAAAAAAAAAUUAGAAUAAAUCCAUUUCAUGCUUUAGGAUAGGUUGCAUGCUUAUAUAGUUUAGGUCAUACUAAUAUGUCAUAUCAUUUUAUGCUAAAUUAGUAGCAUGCAUUGCAUGAUUUUCAUUGAAUAAAUGAAAAGAAAAAGAAAUUACGUGUUACCACCGGCCGUGGUGGCUUUGCUGGCAAGUCUUCCCUAUCGUGGGGGGACCCACUGACCCCUUCUCGGAGGGCAAGGGUUCGACUCGCUGCGGAGACGCUUGGUGUCUUACUUGUUCCACAGGGGUGGUGGUCCUCCCGUCGGAUCCCAGGGUUUACUUCAGCCGUCUGCGGCGUACGGGGCUUCCCUGGUCAUAAAAAAAAUAAGAAGAAAUUACGUGUUAAUUAGAAAUCAUAUUUAGGACUGUCGAUGUGAAUUUUGAUUUAACAUUGUAGAUACUUUCGUUACUAUAAGGUCAGUUUUGCAAUUUAUUCACUGUUUUAUCUGGGUGUUAAAUUGGUGGUUUGCGCACCCGCAUGAUUGCAUCACAUGUUAAGAAAUUAAAUUAAAAUCAACUCAAGCUGUUUGCGAAACAUUUUUCAAAAUAAAAGAGAAAGGUACCGAAAAUGUGUUAAAGAAAUCUAGAGUAACCAAGUCCCCGAACUCACAAUAUCCGGUUCGUAAGAGUAAAGUAAAUUUCUUGUUAUUUUACUUGGGUUUCUACAACCCACCAAAAAUAUAUUAGUGGUGACUUCUAAUUGAAAAAUCAAUUGCAUGUUAAGAACUUGAAUUUAAAUCACGAAUUGGUAUAGGCUUGGGAGAGCCCGAGUUAAGUUUAGACUUAAUAAUCCAUUAGCCAAACUCUAGGUGGUUCACUCAAAAAUUUGAUUGCGACAACAAUAUAGACAAUAAAUGUUAGACAUAAACUAAUGAUUCUAAUCAUGCAUUGAAGAACAAAAUUCAAGCAUUGAUUAAAAUCAUAUGCGGAAAAACAUGAUCAUAAAUAAAACUAACCUCCGGCCAUUGUUUGAAUUUGUGUUCAUCCGAAAUUUAUAGAGAUUUGACAGAAUUACCGGCACACUCUACUAACACAAUCCCUUCAUGUAUCGAUGGUGUAUUUCCGAAUAAAAUGGUUUUCGUUAGACCUUAUAAUUACCCCACGUUAUGAAUGUUCGUCUUUUACAAACCGCUUCUCAUUAAGGCGGUUACCAAAAUUCAAUUAUCACAAAAGGGUUCGAACGUGGAAAUUAGUGGAUAACGCUCACUCAAGAGAAAAUUGGGUAAAUGCCUAAGGAUAAAUUUUAUUUUAAAAUACCAUUUGUCGCAACAUAAUCUCGAUUGAGCUACUUAGGGUUUGGCUAAUGGAUUACUAAGCCUAAACUUAGCUCGAGCUCUCCCAAGCCCAUAUCAAUUUGUGACUUAGGUUCAAGUUCUUAACAUAAGAUUGAUUUUUUUUAUUAGGAGUCGCCACUAAUCUGUUUUUGGUGGAUCGAUUAGAAAUUUAAGUAAAGUAACGAGAGAUUUACAAGCAAAGAUUGUGAAUUCGAAAACUUGAUUACGCUGGAUUUCUCUAACGCCAUUUUAGUACUUUUUUCUUUUAUUUCGAAAAAAACAUUUUGCAGGCAACUUGAAUUGAUUUUAAUUUGCUUCCCUAACGUGUGAGGUAAUUAUGUGGGUGCAUUAACCAUCAAUUUAACACCCAAAUAACAUAAUAAAUAAAUUACAGGACUUACCUCAUAGCAAAGCAUCUACAAUGUUAAAUCAGAAUUUACAUCAACAGUCCUAAAUAUGAUUUAUAAUUAAUACGCAAUCAAUUAAUUUUUGUUUUCACUUAUUUAAUGAGAAUCAUGUUUUUAUGCAAUACAUGCUACUAAUCUAACAUGAAGUUAUAUGACAUAGCAAUAUAACCUAAACUAUAUGACAUAAGUAUAAUAUUUUUGUGUUUUCUUAAUAAGCUUGCAAUCUAUCAUAGAGAAUGAAAUUAAUUUAUUCUAAGAAAAAAAAUUUGGGUAUUUUACAUGAAAUUCGAAAUUAGAAAAUUGCAAAAAUUAUCUAUCCAGAUUAAGAUAUCAUCCAACUUAUAUUAGGAAUAAGAUUAGGCCAAAUCCUAUUUUAAAUUAGAAAGUUAUCUUAAUUUGGUAAUCCCUAACCUAAAAUGCAAUCUAUCUAGGAAAAAUGAUCUAAACUUAUUGUAAAUUAGAACUGUUAUCUAGAAUUAAAUUAAACGUGCAAUCUCAUCCUAAUAUGCAAUGAUUAGAUGACGUGCAAAGAAUGCCCUAAUUCUAGUUUUUCUUUUUUUCUUCUCUUUUUUAUGAUUCGAAAUUAAAAUUGUCAAAUAAUUAAACGUGCAAUUUAAAUUAAUGAAAAGAGAAUCUAACAUCCUAAAUUUAUUUUUUUUGGUAUUUUUUUUACAAGAGCAAUCUUAAUUCAAAUAAAGGCAUCAAGAACAGCACGACAACAAAUCAGGCAAGAUAUCAUCCAUGUCCAUUUAAUUUUCAAAAUAAAUUGAUGAAUCGUAUCUCGCGCAUAAGAUCGGAUUCGGAUUGGGCAAUUUUAAACAAAAUCACGAAUCAUAUCUCGAACGUGAGAUCGGAUUAGCGAUUUUUCCGUACAAUUGCAAGUCGUCAUUGGACUAUCGAUUAUAUGCACAUUGUGAAAUUAGAAAAUUUUCUAAUUUAGAAUGCGAAUAUCAUAACAUAUCAGAAAUUUCAAUAAUGUGCAUCAAUGAAUAUUUCAAAUAAAGAAACGGAAUAUUUGAAAACCCAAGAAGACAAGAUUUUUUCCCAAUUCGAGUUUUGGUUUCCAAAUUUGGCUUAGCGAAGGGUGACUCGUGAAUCACGAUGGAGGCUUGGCGUGGCUCACAGCCGGGGUGGCACGGGCGUUGGCCUGGCUGAAUGCUGUUCACGGGCUUGAAGGGGCGCCGGCGUUCGGAGCUCCGGCGAGGGGGCAGCCGGAGUCGCGGGUGCUGCAGCAGGGACGUGGAGGAGCGGCAACUGGCGCGGCAAGGGGAAAGCUCGAGCAGCUGGCGGUUGCUGCGAGCGAGACGGACGGGCGGCGGUGGCUGGCGGAGGGAAACUCGGCAGUAGGGGGCUCGGCGGCUGACUCGGGCGGGCUGGCGGAGCGCUGCGAGCGAGGCGGACGGGUCACGGACAGCAGGAGGGUCGCGGACCAGCGGGUUGCAGGCGAGGCGGAGGCGCUGCGACCGGCGGGCGGAGGCGCUGCAGGGGGGUUGGGGUCCCGGCGAGGCAGAGCGGGGCCGCUGGCGGUGCUGCGGGCGGAGACGGUUGGCAGCAGCGGCGUCGCAGCUUCGGGCAGAGGCGGUGACGCGAGCUCGCGGGCAAGGGGGGAGCUCCGGCGGCGUCGCGGGGGGACGAGCGGUGGCAGAGGCGCGGCUUGCUGGCGGAGCGGCGGUGGUGCGGCGAGGAGGCUGCCGGCGUUGGGUUGCAGACGGCGGGUGCAGGGGAAGAAGACGACUCCCUUUUUUGUUUUUUCUUUCUUUCUUUUUUCUCUCUCACCUGUCCACUCUCUCACGUCUUCUCUCUCUGUACCUCUCUCCGAAGUGAUGAAAAGAGAGGCCCCCUUUCACGUCCGUACGCGAGCCGGUUUAAUUUUUGUGGAAUAUUUUAUUUUCUUUUUCAAUAUGUAUGAAUAUCAAUUUUGCUAGUGUAUAACCUCCUGAAUAUAUCCUCGAAAUAUAUGUACUCACGAGCAAUAUUCACUUUUAUAUGUCUAAAAAAAUAUCCAUCGAUAUAUAUUGCUUGAAUAUAUGAAAAUCUCCCAUCAUAUCAUUGAAUAUUGGAAAAAUUAACUCUCAUCUAUCGUCAGUCGGUCUAAUGCAAAUGAGAAUAAAAAAAAUGCUCCCAAAAUUAUAUGUUAUGCAAUUUAAUUCUAAUAUUUUUGCUUAUGGGUUAAAAGUUAAUCUCUAAUUUUUAUGCAAUAAAUAAAUGACUAGAUUGCCAAAAUUUAGAUGUCAACACUACCCCUAAAAAUUAUGAGAUUGCAUUCUGUAUAACAUGUGGAUAAAUAUCACUCAAAAAAUAAAAAUGCGUCAAUAUCUAAAUAUAAGUUUUAUUUUUAUAAAAUCAUAUCCCUAAAAAAUGUGGGACCUUGUUAUAUAACAUCAAAACCACAUACUACCCAAAAACGGACCAACAAACUCAUAAAGCAAUCCGCUAAUCAAAAGUGGAUUUGCUAAUCAGAACAAAUCCCUCCAACCACAUCCGAUCAUACAUUUUUCUUAAAGACUGCUAGCCCUCGAUGCUCACCCUGUCAUUGUUAAUGUCCAUGGUCGUCAUAUGUAGGUAUCUAGCCAAAAUUUACUAGAGGGAAGAUUCACUGGAGAGAAGAUUUCUCUAAUUGAUUGACUUCCCUCAUCUUUGCGGAAAUUGUGACCCCCAAGUUUCAGAUUCUCAUGUGCACAAUUCAUAAUCGAGCAUGUUAUGAGGAUUUGUUAAUCCGUGUGCCAACUCGGAGCAUGUUCAUGGCUUCUUGAGUUCAAGCAUAAUAACUCUAGCUCAUAUGAACAUUGCUUUACAAGAACUAAACGUCCAAAGUAAAAAUUGAUAUUUAUAGUUUUAGAGAUCAAUUUGGAUCCCUAAUUUUUUUUUUUUUUUUUGGUAAAGAAUUUGGAUCCCUAAUUUUCUUAUGCAAUAAAUGACUAAAUGUGAAGCCAAAUUUAUGUGUCAAUUGUUGGAGAAAAAUUCCUUGAGUGUUUUAAAGCUGACAAAACGUUUCCAUCAGUCUAAUCUGAAGACUUGCAGACUCUUCCAUCAAAGUGUGAAGAACUUCGGAUUGCCAGACUCAAGACUCAAAGUCUAUCCUCAUUGACACUUUCUAGUCCGUCGAAGAAGACUUAUCCAUAACUGGAUGUUUCGUCAAGAAUUUGACUUUAUUGACUGGAGAAGAUCUCUUGGCUGGAUAUAGUAUGUCGGAAUCUAUUAUUCUAAUCAAGAUUGAUUCGGGAAUUGUGGAUCCGUUGAUUGGCGAAGUAUACUUGAAAUGUUCUACUUAUGGAAACCAAGAUCCUGAUUGUAUGGACGAGCAUGAUUGAUAGGCUAUCGUCAUGUUCCUUAAAUAGCUCGAAGAUCUUCUUAAUUGAUUCUGUCCAAUGGGUAAAUUGGAAUAAUUCCUUUGGUAAGUGCCAACGGGUAUGAUGGCAUAAAGGAGUAUAUAAGGAAGACGUUCCAGUUGUUCGAGUGUGUGCACGAUAGAAGAAUUCCAAAGUCUAAAGCUCCUUGUUCUUAGUCAAUUAAACUGUUAAGCGAAAUCUUGUACACAAAAUAGAGUCUAUAUCAUUGAAAGACCUUGAGGAAGUGUAGUAGAGUCUCUACACUGUGGAAUCAAGGAAGAGCCUAACUGUAACAACUCUUUUGUUCAUAGUGAAAUCCAGCCGGUGGGCUGUCAGUGUGGAAGAGUGGACGUAGGCUUGGAUUAAGCCGAACCACUAUAAUCUCUGUGUUCAUAUUCUCUUCUCUACACUAUUUUACUUUGAUCGUAACUCGUUUUGUUUACAAGAGAGAAUUUCCUUUUUCAUAAUCUAUUGUUGAUCAGUAUUGCACAUAUCUCGCAAAAUUGUUUCUGCACCUAUUCACCCCCCUCUAGGUGCUCAUACUAGCUUUCACAAUCGGUAUCAGAGCUUGUGUACUCACUUAAAUUGAAGUGUUUUACUUCAGAGUUAAAGAUCCAUUGCUAGUAUGUUGGCUCCAGGACUGGUUGAAGGGCAAAACAAUACCAGACCACCUUAUUUUGAUGGAAAGGAAUACAACAUAUGGAAAAACAAGAUGAAGGCAUUUCUAAGAUCAAAGGAUCCUCUAGAAUGAGACGUGGUAGAAAAAGGAAUCAUUUCUAAAGCUGCAUCAGUCUCAGAAAGAGGAAAAGAAGCUAUUGAGUCUAGCGAAAUGACUCAAGAAGAGAUAACUAAGAGACAAGCUCUUGAUGCAAAAGCUAUUUAGUCUUUAUAUUGUGCAUUAUCACCUACUGAAUAUAACAAAAUAUCUUCUUGUGUUACAACUAAAGAAGUCUGGGAUAGAUUACACAUCACCUAUGAAGGAACUGACCGAGUGAAAGAAACCAGAAUUAACAUUCUACUCAGACAAUACAAAGCAUUCAAAAUGAAAACUGGAGAAUCUAUCACUAACAUGUUUAGUCGUUUUACAGAGAUAGUGAAUGGUCUUGAAAAUCAAGGUCAACCAAUUUAUGAUCACAUAAAAGUAAACAAAUUACUGCGUGGACUCUCCAAGAAUUGGAAUUACAUAAAGACCUUAAUAAAGGAGACACAAAGAAUCAUGACACUCUAUGUUGAUGAGUUGGUUGGGAUUCUUCAGUCUUAUGAAGUGGAGCGAAUCAACGAAUAUGAAGAUCCUAAAGGUAAGAAAUCUAUUGCAUUAAAAUCUAAUGAUGAUUAUGAUGUUACAGAUUCUGAAGACGAUAUGGAUGAUGAAGAGCUUGCUCUCAUGAUAAGAAGAUUCAGAAAGCAAAACAGAAAGGGAAGAAGAUUCAAUCCAAAGAAAUAGAGUUUUCAAAAACAACAAAGUAAGUCUGUUGAGGAUGAUGAAUCCAAUAGAGAUGUAGUCUGCUUUGAAUGUAAGAAAAAAUGACACAUCAGACCCAAUUGUCAUAUUCUGAGGAAAAAGAAAGGAAAAACUGAGAAGUGUCGAAAGUCACUCAAAGCAGAAACUUGGAGUGAUACAGAAUGUGAAGAAAGCAAUGAUAAUUAUGCAAAUAUUUGUCUCAUGGCACAAUCAGACUCCAAGACAAACUCAGAUUCAAACAGUGAAAUCGAGGUAAGUAAUUUGAAAAUCCCUACUAAAGUUUCUAGAUACAUUAAUGAAUUGUGUCGUAGUCUUAAAACUUCUCUUAAAAGGAUUUCCGAAUUUAAAAGAGAAAAUUCUGCACUAAAACAACAAAAAAAUGUUUUGAAAGAAAAUGUCAAAAGUUUAGACAAAAGCAUUUCUACCUUAAAGGAAAAUGAAGACAAUCUUUCAAAAGAAAAUGCAUUCUUGAAAAAUGACAUCUCAAAUAUUUCUAAAAGAUUUUCUCUAGGAUUUGAGAAACUUGAUAAAAUUCUUUCAGCAUAAAGACCUUACUUCAACAAAUCAGGUUUAGGAAUGACUACUGAAACCAUUCCUCUAAUUGAUUUUCCUAAAGUAAAAGAAAGAAUUAAGCAAAGACCUACGAGAAAUGCUUUCAAAAAUCAUUUCCAAAAAGUGUUUGUAAAACCAGUAGGUCGCAAUGCUCUUAAAUGUUCUAAGUGCAAUAGUUCAGAGCAUUUUAAAAAAGAAUGUUCUAUGGUUUGGAAACCUGUUAAGAAGGUAUGGGCAAAGACAGUAUAUCAUACUAACACCAAUGGACCCAAGAAAAUAUUGGUACCAAAAAAAGCUUGAAUCUCUUUUCUAAAUGCAGGUCACUAUCAAUAGAAAGAUUAAAUGGUACCUGAAUAGUGGAUGCUCAAGGCAUAUGACAGGAGAUUCAAAUUGCUUCAUAAAACUUGUUCAAGUUAACGGUGGAAAAGUUUCAUUUGGAGGAAACAGCAAAUGAAGAAUUGUGGGAUACGGAACUGUAAAGAUUGGAAGUCUCACGAUCAGUAAUGUUUCCUUAGUGGAAGGACUCAACUACAAUUUGCUAAGUAUCAGUCAGCUGUGCGAUACCGAUUUCAAAAUCAAUUUUCAAGAGGGAAUCUGUUCAGGAACCAGUAAAGACUCAUCUCAGUCUUUUACGGGUCAAAGACAUGGAAAUAACUAUAUCUUGGAUGUCAAACCAGAUGAAACCCAAUGUCUAAUCUCAAUUCAAGAAGAAGCAAACUUAUGGCACAGAAAACUUGGGCACAUCAACAUGAAGCAAAUAGCCAAAAUUUCAACAAAGAAGAUUGUUCGUGGUUUACCUAAUAUGUCAUGCCAAAAGUCUGAUCUAUGCACACCAUGCGUGUUGGGAAAACAGGUAAGAAACUCAUUUAAACCAAUAAAUCAAGUUUCUACUAAUCGUGUACUGCAGCUUCUGCAUAUGGAUCUCUUUAGACCAACCAGAACUCAGAGCAUUGGAGGUAAGAAAUACUGUUUAGUGAUUGUGGAUGAUUAUUCAAGAUUCACUUGGGUAUAUUUCUUGGUAAGUAAGUCUAAAACAUUUUCUUACCUUAAAAAGUUUGCUAAAAAGGUUCAAAAUGAGAAAGGGUAUGUUAUUUCAAGUAUACGGACAGACCAUUGAGGUGAAUUUGAAAAUCAAGAUUUUGCUAAGUUCUAUGAUGAAUCUAGUUUUCAGCAUGUGUUCUCUUCUCCAUAUACUCCAGAGCAGAAUAGAGUUGUGGAAAGAAAGAAUAGAUCUUUGCAAGAGAUGGCUAGAACUCUUUUAAUUGAAAGAAACAUCUUUUCACAUUUUUGGGCUGAAGCAAUUUCUACAGCAUGUUAUAUCAUUAAUAGAGUUUUUCUAAUGCCUAUUCUGGAGAAAACUCCCUAUGAAUUAUUCAAAGGUAAGAAGCCCAUUGUUUCAUAUUUUCAUGUUUUUGGAUGUAAAUGUUUUAUUUUGAAAAAUGCAAAUGAUCAAGUUGGGAAGUUUGAAGGAAAAUCAGACGAAGGGAUCUUCCUUGGAUAUUCGACCACAAGCAAAACUUACAGAAUAUACAACAAAAAGACUCAAUCUGUGGAGGAACCAAUGAAUGUCAAAUUUCAAGACUCUAUGCAAAACGAAUCGAUUCAGACUCAACUUAAAUAAUCUGAACCUACUCUAAACUCUAUAAAAUCUAAAUCUCCAGAAGCAGCUUAGACUUCAGAAGACCAGCAACAAAUGAUAGUAGAAGAUUCAAAUUAGGAAAAAGAUCAACAGUCUGACAAAUCAACCAGCAACUGGAAGCAUAAGUCCAGUCAUCCCACAGAUCUCAUUAUCGGCGAUAUUAAUGAAGGAAUUCGCACAAGAUCCAAAAGGCGCAAAGAGUCUAGUGCUGUGGCUCUUAUUUCUGAAAUAGAACCCAAAAGUAUAGAAGAAACUCUAAUUGAUGAAAGCUAGAUUGAAGCCAUGCAAUAAGAACUCAAGCAAUUCAGUAUCAAUGAUGUUUGGGAAUUGACUCCUAAACUUAAAGGUAAAUCCAUCAUUGGAGCUAAAUGGGUUUUUAGGAACCAGAUGAACGAGAAAGGAAAGGUAGUAAGAAACAAAGCAAGACUCGUGGCCAAGGGAUAUACGCAAGAAGAAUGGAUAAACUAUGAUGAGACUUACGCACCAGUAGCAAGGUUAGAAGCAAUUAGAUUAUUACUUGAUUUUGCUUGUCAUAAAAAUUUCAGGUUAUUCCAAAUGGACGUCAAAAGUGCUUUCCUAAAUGGAUUUAUCCAAGAGGAAGUCUAUGUGGAACAACCACCCAAUUUUGAAGACCCAAGGAAACCAAACUCCGUUUUCAAACUGAAAAAGGCUCUAUAUGGUCUAAAGCAAGCACCUCGAGUUUGGUACGAUAGACUAAGUAAGUUUUUAAUCCAAAUGGCUUUGUCAAAGGUAAAGUCGAUACUACAUUGUUUAUCAAAAGAGGAAGCAAAAGUUUUCUACUUGUUCAAAUUUAUGUUGAUGAUAUUAUUUUUGGAUCCUCUAAUGAAAGUCUGUGCAAGAAAUUCUCUAAGUCUAUGCAGGAUGAAUUUGAAAUGAGCAUGAUGGGUGAGCUAACCUUCUUUCUCGGGCUUCAAGUGAAACAACUGAAGGAAUGAACUUUUAUUAAUAAAGAAAAAUAUGCCAAUGAACUUGUCAAAAAGUUUGGGCUGGAAAAUUGCAAAAAGACCGAUAUACCAAUGCCAAGUUCCUUGAAGCUAGACAAAGAUGAAGGAGGAAAGAAAGUUGACCAGAAGCUAUACAGAAGUAUCAUUGGUUCACUUCUUUAUCUUACUGCUUAUAAACCUAAUAUUUUGUUUAGUGGUUGCAUUUGUGCCAGAUUUCAAUCAGAUCCUAAAGAAUCUCAUCUAAAUGCUGCAAAGCGUAUUAUCAAAUACAUUGCCUCAACCUCAAACGUGGGUCUCUGGUAUCCUAAAGAAUGAGACUUUACUCUUCUUGGAUACUCAGACGCAGACUUAACCGGAUGCAGAGUUGAUAGAAAGAGCACCUCGAGCACUUGUCAACUACUUGGAAGCAAGACAGUAUCUUGUGAGAUAGCUAGUAUAAGCACCUAGAGGGGGGUGAAUAGGUGCACAAAUAAUUUCUCGAGAUACGGAAGCGAUUCUAGGCAAACAAUAGAAAGGAAGUUCUCUUUUGAUUAAUAAAAUACAAUCAAAGUAAAGUAAAGGAUAGGGAAAAGAAAAUUGAACACAAGGUUUAUAGUGGUUCGACUUAUUCCAAGCCUACGUCCACUCUUCCACACUGACAGCCCACCGGCUGAAUUUCACUACGAACAAAAGAGAAGUUACAGCACAGCUUUUCCUUGAUUCCACAAUGUAGAUGUUCUACCACACUUCCUCAAGGUUUCUCACGAAUAUAGACUCUCUUUUGUUUACAAGAUUUCACUCAACAAAUGAAUUGACUUAGAACAAGGAGUUUCAGACUUUGGAAUUCUUCUAUCGUGCACACACUCGAACAACUAAAACGUCUUCCUUAUAUACUCCUUCAUGCCAUCAUACCCGUUGGCACUUACUAAAGGAAUUUCUCCAAUCUACCCGUUGGACGGAAUCAAUUAGGAAGAUCAUUCGAGCUAUUAAAGGAACAUGUCGAUAGCCCAUCAAUCUUGUUCGCCCAUACAAUCAGGAUUUCGGUUUCCAUAAGUAGAAUCUUCCAAGUAUACUUUGCCAAUCAUUGGAUCCUUAAUCUUCGAAUAAAUUAUGAUCAAAUAAAGGAUUCUGUCAUGUCAUAUCCAGCCAAGAGAUCUUCUCCAGUCGAUAAGGUCACAUCCUUAAUGAAACAUCCAGUUCUGGAUAGCCUUUCUUCAACGGAUUAGAAACUGUCAAUGAAGAUAGACUUUGAGUCUUGAGUCUGGCUGUCCGGAGGUCUUCAAACUUUAAAUAGCAAAGUCUGCAAGCCUUCAGACUAGACUGAUGGAAACGUUUUGUCAACUUCAAAACACUUCAAGAGGAUUUCUCCAACAAUCUCCCCAUUUUUAAUGGUGACAAAACUUUCCUGCAGAUUUGGAAGACUUUGACCUGCAAAACAUUUCUCAAACACAUAUGCAUAUCUUAUAGAGAUAAAUGGCUAAAUGAAUAACACUAGAAUCUGCAACCACAGAAAAUAGGUUAGUCUAGUAUGCAAUAAAGCCAUCCAUAAGAUAUCAAUAGUAGUUAAUAAUAAGCAGUCAAAUCCAAAUCCCAAAUUUAGUCCACAUCCAGACACACAAGUCAAGUCAAAACAAACCACAAACCAAACAAGCCAAAAGUUCGACAAAUUUAAGUUCAAAGUUUUCAAAUCUCGCAACUCUCCCCCCUUUUGUCAGCAUAAAAAGUUGAGAUGAAAAUGGAGUGGAGUCAAGAAUGCUUGGGAACACGAACAAGUUGAAAAUCUCUCAUCAACUGAACGAUGCCUUCCAGCCUUUUCAAGUCUUCCUUCAGUUGUGCAACAUCCUCACCCUUAGCAUUAGCCUGAAUCUGAAGAGAAAGGGCUUGGAUCUGAUCAUUCAAUGAACCCGAAGAAGCUUGACCUGCAUUCUGCAAGUUCUGAACUUCGCAUCCCAAUGCAUAUAUCUGACCUUGCAUCUCCAAGAGAAUAUCCAUAAUUCUGCGAAAAUCUGCUGAAUUGUCGGUCUGCGUACUAGCGUCGGCACGAUCUGAUGGAGUAAAUGCAGACGAUGGUAGAUCAGCAUAAUCACACAGAUUUGGUGAUGAAACAUCAUGACCUUCCUUAGGAAAUUGAGAGGCAUAAAUAUCCUCUGGAUCUGCUGGGGAUCGACUAACUCCCUCACUGGUUGCAGGAUUUGAGGACAUGCCUAUUUUCUCUUGGUCUCCCCCUGUUUUCAUGCCUUCAGGUGGAGAGUGCUCCUCAUGUUCUCCUUCUUCUUGAUCUCUUUUCUCUUCUUCUUCUUUUUCAACUCUCUCUUUCUCAGCAUCUCUUUCUUCUUCUUCUUCUCUUUCCUCCGUUUCUUUUUCCUUUGCUUCUUUCUCUUCUCUUUCUUCUGUCCGCUGUUCUGAGUCUUUCUCUAGAACAGAUCGACUCAAAUUCUUCAAAGCCAUUGCAGAAAUAGUGAUAUUUUCCUCAUCAUCUUCAUCCUCAACGAUGAGAGCUCUUCUUCUCUUGGAUGGAGCAUCCAUAGGCUCCUUCCCUUUUCUUUUUCCUGUAGAAGAGAAUUGAUGAGAUUUGACUGGAGUCUUCUCCAUGAAUUUCUCCAAUGCCUUGCUUAGUUCCUUCAGACGCAUCUUAGUCACCAUUUUCAGUCCUACCACCAUAUGAUCGCACGAUCGAGCACAAAGAAUUUGCGGAGGCUGAAUGUUCAGAUGUCUAAAUAACUUCGUCACAAGACCUGGAUAAGGAAGUUGACAUCUGUCCUUCAUCACUGCUCUAUACAUGUGAAACAUAACAGUGUGAGGAAGUGAAAACCUUUUCUCAGAGAUGAUAGCAUACAUCAGCUUUGCCUCUGAACUUGAAACAUCAGUCUUGGAAGUUGAUUUCGGUCUGAGGCAAUUGAUUACAAUCUUGUGCAGCAAGAUGUUGAAUGUACUCAUCCUUGAGUAGGAAAUCUUUUCCUCUGUUCUCCUGUCCUUAACAAGUUUCAAUGUAGCACGAGCAAUAGAAACUUUGAUCCGUUGAUAUCUUCCUCUCUCCACUCCUAACACAUCCGCUAGCAUAUCCAUAUCCACUACAAAGUCUUGAUCUUUGACACUGAAAGAGAAUCUAUUCGCAUCCAAGAAACUAAGAUUUGAAUAGAAAUAUGCAGUUAAUUGAGGAUAGGCCUCUGUGGUGUCAGAGCAGAAUUUUUCAAGUUGAAGAUGACCGAACUUUUCCCUCAAGUUCACAUUCACAGCAUCCAGAAAAUCAAAAUCCACACUCCUAGGGUUUAUCACCCCACGCUUCAGCAAUUUUGAGUAUAGAUCCUUAUGUUCCUUCGAUCUAAACAACUCUCCCCUUUUUCCUCGAUUUUCCGCCGCAACUCCCAUUCUUGGUUGAAAUUGGCUGUAUAAUUUGUCAUCAUCAUUUCCAUCUACCGGAUUAAAUCCCCAAUCACGAGGAUCACUUGGGAUGUUCGCAAGGGUUUCUUCUGCCACCCAUUUACGAGCAAUUCCCAAACUUUCCAUUUUUCGUAAAAAGAUAUAUUCAUUUCCAUAUCCUUUGUCCUUAAGAAAAUCAUCGACAUAGUUCAAUGGAGUACCAGUCCCUUUUAAAGCACGAUACAACUUAUAAAUAAAAGAGGGCCUUUGAACUCUUACAGGAUCUGCAUCUUCAAUGAUUUCUUCCUUUUGUUGAUGAUCAACAUCUUGAGGACUAGAUGGAGGAGAAUGACGCUGCGGAGAAUGUUGUGGGCUCUGCUGCUGAUUUGGAGACACUUCUUCUUCAGUGAGAUCGAAGUGCGUAGGCCCCUCACUCAUUCGCCGUGGUCCCCUGCUUGCGAUCCUCGAAAACUUUCUUGAAGACGGCAUCUUUCUUAGUCUUUGAAAGAUUCAUUGCUUGACUUUCCCAAGAAAGAUGACAACUUUUUCGAAGAUUAAAUAAGAGAGGAAAACAGGAAUGGAAGAUUGGUGCUUUUUAAGGUUUUGGAGUUAAGCGAAGAGAAACCGACUGUAUAUAAGACAGUCGAAAGGAGGAGAUAUCAAACGUCGUAAUGGAAAGUGAAAAGAUGCAUUUGAAAAAAAAAAAUAACUGCCUUAUUCGAAAAAUGGUCAUUUCAAAAUAACUCCUUUUUCUAAAGGAAACGUUGCAAUAAUCUCGUCAAUUAAAGAUAGAGGUUGGGAUAACAAUAAUCAAACACGGUUGAUAAACGUACCUUUUCAAGAUGAGAUUAGAGAGAGAAUAACUUACAGUCAAAGUCUUGCAAUCAAAGUCUUAUUUGUCUAAGUCUGAGAGUCUCUAGACUUUAACUUCUUCAAACCACAAAAUGUUGAGUCUGGAACGGAUAAUUUCAAAUUGGUUUUUCUCCAAAGGCUUUGUAAAUAUAUCCGCAAGUUGGUUCUUUGAGUCAACAAACUGAAUCGUAAUUUCUCCAUUUUGAACAUGAUCUCUAAUGAAGUGAUGUCGAAUCUCUAUAUGCUUUGCUCUUGAGUGAAGAAUUGGAUUUUUGGUGAGAUUGAUUGCGCUAGUGUUGUCACAUUUAAUCUCCGUGCAUGAAUCUUCAAUUCCAAAGUCUCUUAACUGUUGUUUUAUCCACAAAAUUUGUGAACAACAACUUCCAAGAGCUACAUAUUCUGCUUCUGCUAUAGAGAGAGCUACUGUACUUUGCUUCCUUGAAAACCAAGACACUAUCCUGUCUCCAAGUAGUUGACAGGUACCUGAGGUGCUCUUUCUAUCAACUCUACAUCCGGCUAAGUCUGCGUCUGAGUAUCUAAGAAGAGUAAAGUCUCCCUUUUUAGGAUACCAAAGACCAAAUCUUGAAGUUGAUGCAAUAUAUUUGAUAAUACGCUUUGCAGCAUUUAAAUGUCAUUCUUUAGGGUCUGCUUGAAAUCUGGCACAAAUGCAAACACUAAACAAAAUGUCAGGUCUAGAAGCAGUAAGAUAAAGAAGUGAACCGAUGAUACUCCUGUAUAACUUUUGGUCGACUUUCUUUCCUCCUUCAUCUUUGUCUAUCUUCAAGGAACUUGACAUGGGUAUAUCGGUAUUUUUGCAAUUGUCCAGUCCAAACUUCUUCACAAUAUCAUUAGCAUAUUUUUCUUGAUGAAUAAAAGUUCCUUCCUUCAGUUGUUUCACUUGAAGUCCAAGAAAGAAGGUUAACUCACCCAUCAUGCUCAUUUCAAAUUCAUCCUGCAUAGUCUUAGAGAAUUUCUUGCACAGACUUUCAUUAGAGGAUCCAAAAAUAAUAUCAUCGACAUAUAUUUGAACAAGUAGAAAACUCUUGCUUUCUCUUUUAAUGAAAAGAGUAGUGUCUACUUUACUUUUAACAAAUCCAUUUUCAAUUAAAAACUUACUCAGUCUGUCGUACCAAGCUCGAGGUGCUUGUUUUAAGCCAUAUAAAGCCUUUUUGAGUCUGAAUACUGAGUCUGGUUUCCUUGGGUCUUCAAACCCAGGUGGUUGUUCCAUAUAGACUUCCUCAUGGAUGAAUCCAUUUAGGAAGGCACUUUUGACAUCCAUUUGGAAUAACCUGAAAUUCUUAUAACAAGCAAAAGCAAGUAAUAAUUGAAUUGCUUCUAACCUUUCUACUGGUGCGUAAGUCUCGUCAUAGUCUAUCCCUUCUUCUUGUGUGUAUCCCUUGGCCACGAGUCUUGCCUUGUUUCUUAUGACUUUUCCUUUCUCGUUCAUCUUGUUCCUAAAAACCCAUUUAGCUCCAAUAACAGACUUACCUUUCGAUUUAGGAGUCAAUUCCCAGACAUCAUUAAUACUGAAUUGCCUGAGCUCUUCUUGCAUAGCUUCAAUCUAGCUUUCAUCAAAUAAAGCUUCUUCUAUGCUUUUGGGUUCUAUUUCAAAAAUAAAAGCCACAGCACUAGACUCUUCGCGCCUUUUGGAUCUUGUGCGAAUUCCUUCAUUGAUGUCGUCAAUAAUAAGAUCUUUGGGAUGACUGGACUUAUGUUUCUAGUUGCUGGUUAAUUUGUCAGAUUGAUGGUCACUUCCUUCACUUGAAUCUUCAACAGUCACUUGUUGCUAGUCCUUCAAAGUCUGAGCUAUAUCCUGAGAUUUAGACUUUAUAGAGUUUGGAGCAGGUUCAGAUUCUUCAAGAUGAGUCUGAAUGGAUUCAUUUUGCAUAGAAUCUUGGAAUUUAACAUUCAUUGAUUCUUCCAAUGUUUGAGUCUUCUUGUUGUAGACUCUAUACGCUUUGCUUGUGGUUGAAUAUCCAAGGAAGAUGCCUUCAUCUCACUUUUCUUCAAACUUACCAACUCGAUCAUUUGCAUUUUUCAGUAUAAAACAUUUGCAUCCGAAUACAUGAAAAUAUGAAACAAUAGGCUUCUUUUCUUUGAAUAGUUCAUAGGGGGUUUUUUCCAGAAUAGGCCUUAGAAAAACUCUAUUUAUAAUGUAACAUGCUAUUGAAACUGCUUCAGCCCAAAAACGUGAAGAGAUAUUGCUUUCUAUUAAAAGAGUUCUAGCCAUUUCUUGAAGUGAUCUAUUCUUUCUUUCCACAACUCCAUUUUGCUCUGGAGUAUAUGGAGAGGAGAAUACAUGCUGAAAACCAGAUUCAUCACAAAAUUUUGUAAAAUCAUGAUUUUCAAAUUCACCUCCAUGAUCUGUUCUUAUACUCGAGAUAACAUACCCUUUUUCAUUUUGAACCUUUUUAACAAACUUUUCAAAGUAAGAGAAAGUUUCAGACUUACUUGCCAAGAAAUAUACCCAAGUAAAUCGUGAGUAGUCAUCCACAAUUACUAGGCAGUAUUUCUUACCUCCAAUGCUUUGUGUUCUGAUUGGUCCAAAAAGAUCCAUAUGCAUAAGCUGCAGUACACGGUUAGUGGAAACUUGAUUUAUUGGUCUAAAGGAAUUUCUUACAUGUUUUCCCAAUAUACAUUGUGUACAUAGAUCAGACUUUUGGUAUGAUAAAUUGGGUAGACCACGAACAAGCUUCUUUGCUGAGAUUUUGGCUAUCUGCUUCAUAUUGAUAUGCCCAAGCUUUCUGUGCCAUAAGUUUGCUUCGUCUUGGAUUGAGAUUAGACAUUGCGAUUCAUCUGGUUUCACAUCCAAGAGGUAGAUAUUUCCAUGUCUUCGACCCAUGAAUGACUAAGUAGAAUCUUUACUAAUUUCUAAACAUAUUCCCUCUUGAAAGUUGAUUUUGAAACCAGUAUCACAUAGUUGGCUAAUACUGAGCAAAUUAUAAUUAAGUCCUUCCACUAAGGAAACAUUGCUGAUUGAGAGAUUUCCAAUCUUUACAGUUCCAAAUCCCACAAUUUUUCCUUUGUUGUUUCCUCCAAAAGAAACUUUUCCAUCAUUUACUCGAACAAGCUUUAUAAAGUAAUUUGAGUCUCCUGUCAUGUGUCUUGAGCAUCCACUAUCCAGAUACCAUUUUACAUUUUUCUUGAUAGUGACCUGCAUUUAAAAAAGAAACUCAAACCUUCUUUGGUACCUAUAUUUUCUUGGGUCCAUUGGUGUUAGUAUGAUAUGUCGUUUUUGCCCAUACCUUUUUAACAGGUUUCCAAAUCAUAGGACAUUUUUUUUCAAAAUGAUAUGCACUAUUGCACUUUGAGUAUCUGAGAACAUUGCGACCUACUGGUUUUACAAAGAUCUUUUUAAAAUGAUUUUUGUAAGCAUCUCUUAUGGGUCUUUGUUUGAUUCUUUCCUUCACUUUAGGAAAAUCAAUUAAAGGAAUGGUUUCAGCAGUCAUUCACAAACCAGAUUUAUUGAAAUAAGGUCUUUGACCAGAGAGUAUUUUUUCCAGUUUCUCAGAUCCUAUAGAAAAUCUUUUGGAAAUAUUUGAGAUAUCAUUUUUCAAGAAUGCAUUUUCUUUUAAAAUAUUAUCUUCACUUUCUUUAAGAGAAGAAACAUUCUUAUCUAAACAUUUCACUUUUUCUUUCAAAAUAUUUUCCUGUUGUUUUAGAGCAGAAUUUUCCUUCUUGAGUUCGGAAAUUCUUUUAAGAGAAGUCUUAAGACUGAAACACAAUUCAUCAAUGUAUUUUGAAACUUUAAUAGGGACUUUGAAAUUACUUACCUCAAAUUCACUUUCUGAAUCUGAAUCUGUCUUGAAAUUUGAAUCUGAAUCCGAUUGUGCCAUCAGACAUAUAUUGGCAUAAUCAUCAUCACUUUCUUCACACUUUGUAUCACUCCAGGUUUCAGCUUUAAGAGCCUUUCGAUACUUUUCAGUUUUUCCUUUCUUUUUCCUCAGAAGAGGACAGUUGGGUCUGAUGUGUCCCUUUUUUCUUACAUUCAAAGCAGACUACAUCUUUGUUUGAUUCAUCAUCCUCAACAGACUUAGUCUGUUGCUUUUGAAAACUUUGUUUCUUUGGAUUGAAUCUUCUUCCUUUUCUGUUCAGCUUUCUGAAUCUUCUUAUCAUGAGAGCAAGUUCCUCAUCAUCCAUAUCGUCUUCAGAAUCUGUAACAUCAGAAUCAUCAUUAGAUUUUAAUGCAAUGGAUUUCUUACCUUUAGGGUCUUCGUCUUCAUUGAUUCGUUCCACUUCAUAAGACUGAAGAGUCCCAACCAACUCAUCAACAGAUAGUGGCAUGAUUCUUUAGGUCUCUCUGAUUGAGGUCUUUAUGUGAUUCCAAUCCUUGGAGAGUCCACACAGUAGCUUGUUUACUUUCAUAGGAUCAGAAAUUGGUUGAUCUUGAUUUUCAAGACCAUUCACAAUUUCUGUAAAACGACUAAACAUAUCAGUUAUAGAUUCUCCUGAUUUCAUUUUGAAGGCUUCAUAUUGACCGAGGAGAAUGUUGAUUCUAGUCUCUUUCACUCGAUCGGUUCCUUCAUAGGUAAUAUGUAAUCUAUCCCAGACUUCUUUAGCUAUAACACAAGAAGAUAUUUUGUUAUAUUCAGUAGGGGAUAAAGCAUAAUAUAAAGAAUAAAUUGCUUUUGCAUCAAAAGCUUGUCUCUUGAUUAUCUCUUCCUGAGUCAUUUCGCUAGACUCAACAGCAUCUUUUCCUCUUUCUGAGACAGAUGCAGCUUUAGGAAUGAUUCUUUUUUCUACAACGUCCCAUUCCAUAUGAUCCUUUGAUCUUAGGAAUGCUUUCAUCUUGUUUUUCCAUAUGUUGUAAUCCUUUCCAUCAAAGUAAGGCGGUCUGGUAUUGCUUUGCCCUUCUACCAGCCCUGGAGCCAACAUACUAGCCAUGGAUCUUUAACUCUGAAGUAAAACACUUCAAACAAAGUGAGUACACAGGCUCUGAUACCAAUUGAGAUAGCUAGUAUAAGCACCUAGAGGGGGGUGAAUAGGUGCACAAAUCAUUUUUCGAGAUACAGAAGCGAUUCUAGGCAAUCGAUAGAAAGGAAGUUCUCUUUUGAUUAAUAAAAUAUGAUCAAAGUAAAGUAAAUGAUAGGGAAGAGAAAAUUGAACACAAGGUUUAUAGUGGUUCGGCUUAUUCCAAGCCUACGUCCACUCUUCCACACUGACAGCCCACCGGCUGGAUUUCACUAUGAACAAAAGAGAAGUUACAGCACAGCUUUUCCUUGAUUCCACAGUGUAGAUGUUCUACCACACUUCCUCAAGGUUUCUCACGAACAUAGACUCUCUUUUGUUUACAAGAUUUCGCUCAACAAAUGAAUUGACUUAGAACAAGGAGCUUCAGACUUUGGAAUUCUUCUAUCGUGCACACACUCAAACAACUGGAACGUCUUCCUUAUAUACUCCUUCAUGCUAUCAUACCUGUUGGCACUUACCAAAGGAAUUCCUCCAAUCUACCCGUUGGACGGAAUCAAUUAAGAAGAUCAUUCGAGCUAUUAAAGGAACAUGUCGAUAGCCCAUCAAUCUUAUUCGCCCAUACAAUCAGGAUUUCGGUUUCCAUAAGUAGAACCUUCCAAGUAUACUUUGCCAAUCAUCGGAUCCUUAAUCUUCGAAUCAAUUAUGAUCAAAUAAAGGAUUCUGUCAUGUCAUAUCCAGCCAAGAGAUCUUCUCCAGUCGAUAAGGUCACAUCCUUAAUGAAACAUCCAGUUCUGGAUAGCCUUUCUUCAACGGAUUAGAAACUGUCAAUGAGGAUAGACUUUGAGUCUUGAGUCUGGCUGUCCGGAGGUCUUCAGACUUUAAAUAGCAGAGUCUGCAAGCUUUCAGACUAGACUGAUGGAAACGUUUUGUCAACUUCAAAACACUUCAAGAGGAUUUCUCCAACAUCUUGAUUUUCGAGGAAGCAAAGUACAGUAGCUCUUUCUACAGCAGAAGCAGAAUAUGUAGCUUUUGGAAGUUGUUGUUCACAAAUUUUGUGGAUAAAAUAACAGUUAAGAGACUUUGGAAUUGAAUAUUCAUGCACUGAAAUCAAAUGUGACAACACCAGCACAAUCAAUCUCACCAAAAAUCCAAUUCUUUGUUGGAGAAAUCUUUCCAGAAUAUUUUGAAGCUGACAAAACGUUUCUAUCAGUCUAGUCUGGAUAAAUACAGAUCUUCUGUUUAGAGUCUGAAGACUUUCAGAUCACUAGACUCAGCACUCAAGACUCAAGACUCAAGACUAUUCUCAUUGACAGUUCUUUCUAAUCCAGUGACAAAGGCAAUCUAGAGCCGAAGUAUUUGGUUGAGGAUUUAGUCCUAUCCUCUGGAGAAGAUCUCUUGGCUGGAUAAAAAUAACGGAUUCUUUUAUUCGUAAUCAAGAUCGUUUGAAGAUCCGAUGGUCGACGAAAUAUUCUUGGAAGGUUCUAUUCUUGGAAACCAAGAUCCUGAUUGUAUGGGCGAACAGGAUUGAUGGGCUAUCGUCAGGUUCCUUUAAUAGCUCGAAUGAUCUUCUUGAUUGAUUCCGUCCAACGGGUAGAUUAGAGGAAUUCCUUUGGUAAGUGCUAACGGGUAUGAUGGCAUAAAGGAGUAUAAAAGGAAGACGUUCUAGUUGCUUUAAUGCAUGAUUGAUAGAGAAAUUCCAGAGUCUGAAGCACCUUGAUUAUUAGUCGAUACAUUUUGAGCGAAAUUGUAUACACAAAGAGUGUCUAUACUUAGUGAUACCUUGAGCGAGUGUGGUAGAUCAUCUACACCAAGAAAUCAAGGAAGAACAUCGCUUAACAUCUCUUUGUUCAUAGUGGAAUCCAGCCAAUAGGCUGUCAGUGCAGAAGAGUGGACGUAGGCUUGAAAUAAGCCGAACCAUUAUAAACCGCGUGUUCAAUUUUCUCUUCUCUCAGUCUUACUUUGAUUAUUGUUUGUCUCAAAUCUAUCAACUAUCUAGUAUUGUGCAAUUAUCGAGAAAAAUCCUUUAUAUACCUAUUCAGCCCCCUCUAGGUACUUAUACUAGCUAUAUCAUUCUUCACUCAAGGGCAAAACAUAUAGAGAUUCGACAUCACUUCAUUAGAGAUCAUGUUCAAAAUGGAGAAGUUUCGAUUUAGUUCAUUGACUCAAAGAAUCAACUGGCGGAUAUAUUUACAAAGCCUUUGGAGCAAUUUGAAGCUAUUCAUUCCAGACUCAAUAUCCUAAAGUCUGAGGAAGUUCAAACCUAAGACUGAAAGUCUAAAGACAUUCAGACUCAGACAAUCAAAAUUUUUUACUGUAAGUUGUUUUUAUUAUCCCUCAGAUCAAAUCCCGAAAAUAUACGAUUAUCUAUCCUUAAUUGAUUGUUGUUAUUUUCAAUUUCCGUGAUUAUUGCAAUUUUUUCUUUUCGAAAAAGAAGUUAUUUUUGAAAUGAUAGUUAUCCAACUUUUAAAAAUGGUAGUUAAUUUUUUAAAAGGCAUCUUUACAUUUCUUUUACGACGGUCCAUAUGCCUUGCUUCGACUGCCUUAUAUACUGUCGGUUCUUCUUUGUUUCACUCUCACAAACCCUAAGAGAGCUCCGAUCUUCCAUUUCUAUCUUCUUUUCUUGCUUAAUCUUCGAAAAGUUGUCAUCUUUCUUGGAAAACAAGCUUGGAAUCUCUCAAAAACUGUGAAAGAUGUCGUCCCAAAGAAAGUCUUCAAGGAUCGCAAACAGGGGACCACAGCAUAUGCGUGGAGCCUACGCACUUUGAUCUCACCGAGGAAGAAGAAUCUCCUCAUCAGCGACAGAGCCCACAACAUUCUCAGCAGCGUCCAUCUUCUCCUCCUAGACCUCAGAAUAUUUCACAUCAAGAAAAAGAAGAAAUCAUCGAAGACGCAGAACCCGUAAGAACUCUUAAGCCUGGCUUCACUUAUAAGAUUUACCGUGCUUUGAAGAGGGGUGGUACUCCUUUGAACUACAUUGACGAAUUUUUGAAAAAAAAAAAAGGUAUCGAAAUGAAACCUAUUUUCUACGCAUAAUGGAACGAUUGGGAAUUGCCCCUGCUGGAUUGGCGGAAGAGGCAUUGGCAAAUAUCCCAACCGAUCCACGUGUUGGAGGGCUGAGUCAGCCAGAUGGGAAUGACGAUGAUAGGAUGUACAGUCAAUUUAAACCAAGAAUGGGUGUUGCGGCAAAAAUCCGAUGUAAAAGGACAGACUUUUUUCGAUCGAAUGACCAUAAGCAACUGUACUCUAAGUUACUGAAGCGUGGGGUAAUAAACCCUAGAAGUGUGGAUUUUGAUUUUCUUGACUCUGUGAAUGUCAAUCUGCGGGAAAAAUUCACUCUUCUUCAACUCGAACAGUUUUGUUCUGAAUCUACAGAAGGUUAUGCUGAACUUACUGCUUAUUUCUAUUCAAAUUUAAGUUUCUUCGAUGCGAAUAGACUUUCUUUUAGUGUUCAAGAUCAGGACUAUGUGGUUGACAUGAAUACAUUGGCUGAUGUGAUUAGGGUUGAAAGAGGGAGAUAUCAACCUAUGAGUGUGUCUAUUGCUCGUGCAACGUUGGAACUUGUUAAUGAUAGAAGAACGGAAGAAAAGAUUUCCUAUUCGAGGAUGAAUGCAACCAACAUUUUGCUUCACAAGAUUGUGAUUAACUGCCUCAGACCAAAAUCAACUUCAAAAACUGACGUUUCAAACUCGGAGGCAAAGCUGAUGUAUGCCAUCAAUGCUGGUAAAAAAUUCUCUCUUCCAUACACCAUUAUGUUCCACAUGUACAGAGUAGUGGUAAAGGACAAGGGUCAACUGUACGCAGCUCUUGUAACCAAGUUAUUCAAACACUUGAAUAUUUAGCCUCCCCGAAUUCUUUGUGGUAGAGCAUGCGAUCAAAUGGUGGUGGGACUGAAAAUGGUUUCUAAAAUGCGUCUGAAGGAACUCAACAAGGAGUUGGAGAAGUUCAAGGAAAAAAACCCCUGUCAAGACUCAUCAAAUCUCUUCGGCUGCAAAAAGGAAAGGGAAGGAGCCCAUGGUUGCUCUAUCCAAGAAAAGAAGAGCUCUCAUCAUUGAGGAUGAAGAGGAUGAGGAUGAUAUCACUAUUUCUGCAAUGGCAUUGAAGAACUUGAAUCAUUCUGCACCAGAAUCAACAGAGAGACAGGAAAAAGACAUGGCUGAAACAGAACAGAGGACUGGAGAAAGUGAAGAUUUUGAGAAAGAAGCAGAGGAGAGAGAUGCAGAGGAGGAAAGAAUUGAAGAAGAAGAAGAAGAGGAGAGAGUAGAAAAAGAACAUGAGGAACACUCUUCUCCACCUGAAGGCAUGGAAACAAGGGGAGAUCCUGAGAAAAGAGGAACAUCCUCAAUCCCUACCAACAGUGAAGGAGCAAGUCGCUCUCCAGCAAAUCCAGAUGACAUCUAUGCCUCACAAUUUCCUGAGGAGGGACACGAUGUUUCAUCGCCCAAUCUGCGUAACAAUGCUGAUUUGCCAUCAUCUGCUUAUACACCGUCUGAUCAUGCAGAAGCAAGUAUUCAGACUGAUAAUUUAACAGACUUUCGCAGAAUUCUUGAUGUUCUUUUGGAGAUGAAAGGUCAAAUCUAUGCUCUGAGAUGUGAACUUCAGAAUUUGCAGAAUGCAGGACAAGCUUCUUCAGAUUCUUUGAAUGAUCAACUCCAAGCCCUUGCUCUUCAAGUUCAAGCAAAUGCUAAGGGUGAAGAAGUAGCGCAACUGAAGGAGGACUUGAAAAAGCUUGAAGGCAUUGUGCAGUCAAUGGGAGAUUUCCAGCUUGUUCGUGUUCCCAAGCCAUCUUAAUUUCAUUCUCUUUUAACGUGAUUUAGAGACUUUUCUUCGAUUAGAUUAUCAACUAAUAUUGCGUUACAAACUUCCAUUCGACUAGUUAACCAAAUAUUAUAUGUUCUUUCUUAAUUACUAACUUUUCUACUUAGUUUUAUAUGAACUUCUUGGAAAUAGUAUAAUUUUUUUUAGAAAUUAUUAAUCUAGUAAUUACCAACUUUUCUCCUAUCAAGUUUUCAACUUAACAACUCUUAUUUGAGUUAUACAUCAACAUUUAUUUUUUUCCCCUUAAAAUUACCAACUUUUCUCAUAUCUAACACACGCACGCACGCACGCACACACACACAAAAUAAAAAAUUCUCUUAUAUUUUAGCAACUUUUAUUACAUUUCUUAAGGACACUUUAUUUUUAGGGAAAAUGACAUUAAUGGUCUUUAAACAUUGGCUUGUGCAGUACAUUAACUUUUAAUUUAUUUAAUGCGGUCUUUAAGCUUUAACUUAAUGCGCAAUGUUGCUCUUGAAUUUUAAAUUAUUCAAUGUAGUCCAGGAACUUUUAAUUCAUGUUCAAUUUAGUCGCUAAACUACAUGAAAAUGUUUAGUGUUGUCCCUUAACUUGAAUAAAUGAAAGGAAAAUAUUCAACAUUUUCGUAUAAUUCAAAACUAAAUUAAACAUAAAGCAAAAGUUUAGGGAUCACAUUAAACAAAUUAAAAUUUCAGGAACCGCAUUGUACAUUAAACUAAAGUUAAGGGAUUACAAUCAACAAAUUUAAAGUUCGAGGACCAUAAAGAAUAUUAGGCCAAAGUUCAUAAAUUACAUAGGGUUAAUUCCAAAAAAAAGCAUCAACUUUAGGUCAAUGGACAAAUCUGGCCAAAACUUUUUUUUGUCUCAUAAAAAAGCACAAACUUUAGGUCGAGGGACAAAUCUGGCCCGAACUUUUUUUUGUCUCGUAAAAAAGCACAAACUUUAGAUUAAGUGACAAUUUUGGCCCAAUUUUUUUUUGUUUGGAAAAAAAAUCAUCAACUUUCACUUAAAUCCUAAAUUUGGCCACCCUUAACUUAUAUUCAUUGAUUGUCCUUAAUCCAUGUGCACUUGUUGACUAACACCAUCCAUUUUCUUCUUGUUUGAGCCAUAGCUUGAAGAAUAACAGUGAAAUUAUGCCAUUUCCUAUACUUCACUAGCAAGUAAAAAAAUCUCGCGAUUGAAUUUCUCUCGCUAGACUAUAUUGUUUUGUCGUAAUAUGAAACUGUAGAUCACCGCAUGUCAAGAGAAACCAUGGAUGAGAUCUACCAACCUCACAGCUAGAACCUUUUCUCUUGAAAUAAGGUUAACUUCAAAUAGAAAGUUAAUGGUAAGGGUUAGAUUUUGAAUAGGAGUGAAAGUUUGUUAUUUUUUAUGAGACAAAACAAAAAUGGGACCAGAAUUGUCACUUAAUCUAAAGUUUGUGCUUUUUUACGAGACAAAAAAAAGUUUGGGCCAGAUUUGUCCCUUGACCUAAAGUUUGUGCUUUUUUAUGAGACAAAAAAAAGUUUUGGCCAGAUUUGUCCAUUGACCUAAAGUUUGUGCUUUUUUUUGGAAUUAGCCCAAAUUACAUAUGUCAUCAUCCCAAACUUAUUAUACCUAAGGUUUGAGAGAAAACUCAAUAGCUCACUUUUUCACUAGAUGUAUUAAGAAUAAAUGGGCCCUUUUAUUCAUUCACUCAGGGAGCAAGACAUUGCUCUUCCGAACGUUAUUUUCAUUUUUGAAAUUUAAGGAAAAAGCUAUCCAAUUUCGAACAGUUUUAAAUAUUUGAAGUGGUGGAUUCUAAAUUCUAAUUACAAGAAUAUAUUUGAGAUUGUUCCCAAACCAUCCUAAUAAUAUUCCGUCUUAAAAAUCUCCUCUGAGCGUAUAAAGAACAAAAAAUGAACUAAAGAAGAGGAUUAGUAGAUCAACACAGUAAGUGUACAGCCACAUAAUGCAUCAGUAAAACAGUGUCCACCAACGGACAUCUGGGUGCCUCGCAUUUUAGAUUCAGAGCACACAAAUCAUCUAACCAAGCAUCGUAAUACUGCAUCACGCCACAUUACAAUGAUAUCCGAUCCUAUACGAUGUUCAUGAGUACUCUAAGCUUAUCGAUGCUCCUGGAUUGGAUCAGUCACAAAUUUGGCAUGGACGAGAUUGAAGAGCAUUGACGGGGUAGCUACAGAUCGAAACUGUGGCUGUUGUAAUGGAAGACUGGGUGAAGCGCUCCCCUCCUCAAGUUCUGUGACCUGCACUGCUUGGCAACGCUCGACUGAAGAGUUGCAGGACCGCACACGAUCACCCCGAUAUCAACUUUGCCCCAGCGCUCAGACAUGGAUGUGAAGAUUUCUGUGCAAGGAUGAAAAUGGGGGUAAUAUUGUUCCAGCAUUAGCAUCAAUAAGGGCUGAGUUCUUUAACUACUUCCGAGUUCUUUAGGCACUACUGAGAGUGAGAUCAUUUCCAUCUCAAACAUGUAUAUCGUCUCCCAAAUGACAUGGCAAAAUGUACCUUCAAAGUUUGGUCUGGCGCCGUAAUGUGUAGUCCCUGAAACAGCAUGAUCUUUUGGGCCUACAUCGUCCUGCAUUGUCUUGAAAUGUUCACUCUGCUGCGACCUGUCAUCCUUCUUACCAUCCUCAUCUUCCUCUGCAGCGACGGCUCUCUUUUCCCAGCGAUGCCAUAAAUAGAUGACAGGGCCUCCAAAUAUGAUUGCACUGCCAAUCAUGCAUCCUACAAGCAAGAGUCCUUUGUACCACCAUGUGGCUAUGUUCAAAGGGUUUAUGUAGAAGAUGUCCAGCAGGGCCAUCAAUACAGCAAAGCCAACCACAGAGGAGAUGACAUAAGCUCCGGACCAUGUACGGUUUCCUGGUCCAACUAGAACGGACAUGCCACUUCCCCUUAAUAGAGGAGACACGGAAGUGCUAAUGCCCUUGUCCAUGUUACCUUCUUCCUGCAUCAUAACAACACUUAGCUCUUCACUUAAUGGACUCGAGGCAAAUUGUACGUCGAAGACACAAGUCAGCUUUACCAGUGGAGGAUGCGAUUCCCUGGUGACAUAGACAUGAACUUCGAGGUCCAGCUUAUCGGAAAAGUUAGGGCAGAUUGACUCCGUAUCCAGAGUGGAUAGCAGAUGAAGCUCAUUGGAUCUUCUUAUGGCCCAAAUCAACAGGACAUUCUUUGGUAAGCAUGGUUUCCCUUGAUUUGUAAGAUGGAGUAUGUCACUCAAGACAGCCAAAAAGGGAGAUAUCCCACUGCCUCCAGCUACCAGAAUGAGAUUCUCAUAUCUACAAGAGCAAAUAAUUCAAGUAUCAAUCCGCUAAAAAGAGGGGAGAAAAGUUACAAAGAGAUGAAACUUACGGUCCUGAUGGUAAAAACCAAUUCAAUUGGAUACAAUCUUAAAAUACUUCCUAAUCUAGAAGCACUAAUUUUUUUUAUGAAGGAUGAGAAGGGUCCAACUUUGCCUAGUUUUACUCAUCACCGAUGGUUUCAUGCGUUAUAGUUUUCUCGCCCUUAUUCACGAAGAUGUACUAGCAGAUCAUAAGACAUACGUCAGAUGGUAAGGGAUUUCAUGCCCAUAAGGCCCCUCGAUAGAGACUGUUAUCCUGGAACGAGAUUGGCUACGGAGUCCGUUUUCUCCUUCUGUGCCAGGCAUAUGCAAGACCUUGCUCUUCAAGUUGGAGGUCCAUUCCCCUAAGACCUUUAUGAGGACAGAGAUGUGUUUCCUUCCAGCCAAAGGACUAGAAGAAACACUGAAAGGAUGCCAUUGAAGCCAUGACAAUUCCCGAAUCUGAAGGAAGAUGAAACUCAGGGCAGUGUACCGCAGAUCUGCAUCACCAAGAGAAUACAGACUCAAAUAGUAGAACAUUCUCCUAAUGGGUACAAGGAACUAAAAAACGAUCCACAGAUGAAGAAAAUGAGAAUUUUAGUACUUGCUGGCUUUGAGAAGACCAAUUCUACACUUCCGCCAGGGAGGCACGUCACGGAUAUAACAUCCACUGUCCUUCGCGAUUGGCAGAAUCUGAGAAACCGGUCAAUCACGAAGAGGAAAAUCCCCCCAGCAGUUAUACUGAAGAUAAAAUCUCCGACAUGCAGAGCCAGAAAGAUGACGAAGACAGCAUAGAGUUGGUGUGUAUAGAAGAACAACUCAAAUUUCUUCUUCCUCACCAGAGGCAACGUAGUCACCCACAUCAGUAGACCAGCCAAAAGGCUGAUAACCCCAGGUAGAACGGCGAUACCUUCAUCUGCCCACUGCAGUAUCUGAAGAAGACAUUCUGAGUCAUGGACUAACAACUUCAGCAUAAUCAAGUCCGAUUAUAUUUGAUUACGGAAAUUUUAAAUGGAAAUUACCAGAGACACUGAUCACUUAUUAAGAUACAUCUUAUAGAAGAGUCAUACAUUUGUGCGUGCAUUCUCAUCUCGUGUUCUGUCUUGACUAGCACUUACGAUGCUCAGAUCCUUAUACAGGAAACGAAAAGAAUGACAAAGAUAGAGCUAAUUGGAGAGAGGAAAAGAUAACCAUAUAAGCAAAAGCAAAUUGCUAGGGCUCACUUCAUCUAGCAGUUGACCUUCCAUCGCCCAUGCAAUUACGAAGCAUAGCCCAUGGAGAGUGAAGAAAGACAUUGUGAGAUGUCCAAGCCAGACAUGAUACCGGGUUGCUUGCUCAAAGGGGAUAUCUAUGAUACUAAGAAGGACAGAUCCUCGAGAAAUUGGGAGGAAGAGAAACGCCAAGAAGUAUAUCCCGAUGGAACCAAAGCGAAGUCCCGUGAGUAUAAGCAUCAAAUUCCUGCAAAGAACAAUAAGGUACCCAGUGGAACGGCCUUAUUUACUAAGAAUCGAGAAGACGCAUACCACAAUAACACUGGAGAUUUAAGCUAGCACAAGGAAUACCAUUUCCCUUCAGAAGAUAAUGAGACCUGUGAUAACACGUUGAGAUUCUGCAUGGUGUAAGCAUAUAAAGCCCAAAUAGCGAACACAACAAAGAGGCAAAUCCCAAUGAACUCAGCUGCUGAGACAACUCCAAAUGGUCCGUCAACCAGGAUGGGAAAUGUCCGCAAUCGAAUCCUUGGGUAUUUGCUAGUCGUCUUCCUGAAAUCUCGUGUUCAAUGGCAAUGUAUGAGGAAGUGAAUUUGUUCAGUGAAAAAUGCGGGGACAAAAAAUGGACAGUGACUAGAGGUUCAACAUACAAUUGGAGCUCUUUCUUCCCAUCAACCAUAAGACUUGCUAUGGCAAGAAACGCAAUGACGAGAAUCGGAGCGCUACACAACAACAAGAAGCUCCCUGCCGGGUGGUUCAAGCACCAAUAAGACGACAAUCAUAGCUAGCAGGCCGAGUUCAGGAUCGAGGAGAGAUAAAAAUAGCCGAACCUGUAACUCCGAAUACGUUUCCCAUGGUCGCUCUGGUCCAACUCUCUACGAACUGAGUCCCAGCAUCUGAGGGGAAAAGAAAGAAAACUGCAACCCAGAAACCGAGGACGAGCCACAUGGCGACACCAAGAACCCAUUUGAUGAACGCAGUGGCAAAGACGGAAUGAGGCGGAUUCCCAUUCUCGGCAUCGGUAAGGUUCUGCAGCAGAGGCUCACCAGCAGAGUGGUCAUCGGCCAUGGAAAGUUGAUGCGGCGAUGGAGAGUAUUCACGGGGGAUUCAAGGACACCUUCAGAUUAUCCGGGACCGUAGAACUUUGAGUGAUUCGGCCUUGCACUGCAAAUAUCAGUCAGGAAGACAAGUAGAAUCCAAGCCACUCACGUCACAAUCUUAGUAUUCCCUCUCAGCACCUACUCUGCCAGUGCACUCGGGAUGUUGACAUUACACAGCUAGAACUCUUUACAAAUGAAGAGUCUGUACUCAAUGCUCUUCACGAGAUAAAAAUCACGUCUUUGCCUUUACUGGUGUCCGAUCAAACACUUUCAAACCAAGCCCACAUAAAAAUCGGGUCCGGCCAUGUUUAUCCAUCGCUGGUUAUCCAGGACGAAGGGUACUCUGCAGAGAAGUCAGGGCGGUCCCCUGUUUCUCUUGUUUUUAUGCCCGGAAACAGAAAUUCGUAUCGUCCUUGUUUUUUAUGGUCGUCGUCACCGAGUCAAUUCAUGGCCACAUGCAGGUCCUUGUUUUUGAUGGUCGUCGUCACCGAGUCAAUUCAUGGCCACAUGCAGUUACGAUCGUGCCAGCAAACAAUUACUGAUCGACAACGAUGACCACUGUGCAUCAACGGUAAGGUUCAGCAGCAGAGGCUCACCGGCAGAGUGGUCAUCGGCCAUGGAAAGUUGAUGCGGCGAUGGAGGGUAUUCACACGGGGAUUCAAGGACACCUUCAGAUUAUCCGGGACCGUAGAACUUUGAGUGAUUCGGCCUUGCACUGCAAAUAUCAGUCAGGAAGACAAGUAGAAUCCAAGCCACUCACGUCACAAUCUUAGUAUUCCCUCUCAGCACCUACUCUGCCAGCGCACUCGGGAUGUCGACAUUACACAGCUAGAACUCUUUACAAAUGAAGAGUCUGUACUCAAUGCUCUUCACGAGAUAAAAAUCACGUCUUUGCCUUUACUGGUGUCCGAUCAAACACUUUCAAACCAAGCCCACAUAAAAAUCGGGUCCGGCCAUGUUUUAUCCAUCGCUGAUUAUCCAGGACGAAGGGUACUCUGCAGAGAAGUCAGGGUGGUCCCCUGGUUCUCCUGUUUUUAUUCCCGGAAACGAAAAUUCGCAUCGUCCUUGUCUUUUAUGGUCGUCGUCACCGAGUCAAUUCAUGGCCACAUGCAGUUACGAUCGUGCCGGCAAACAAUUACUGAUCGACAACGAUGACCACCGUGCAUCACCUGGAGUGGCCGAGGAGUAGUCCCUGUUUUCUUACUCUCCCCAUGAGCUUGGAUAGAAACAAAAGUUUCCAGUCGCUCUUGCCCACGUGUAUUUUGUGUACUCAACUGCUUUGAUAGUCGAAACGUCACCACAGUCCUCCUCACAUCAGCAGCUCUUCAUCGUCCUUCCUCCAGAGCUAAGAGACGGACCGGGCCAGACCGACCGUCCUCAGCUACUCCUAUUGAAACCUGUGCUGGAUUAUGUGAAUUGCUUAAACAUUAUAUAUUAAGUAUGCUAUGAGUUAAUAAAUAGAAUGCAUACAACAAGAUCGAGCUUUUACUUAGGGGUGUCAAAAACCGUACCGAAAAGUUUGGUUUUUUCAGCUUGGUUCUUAUUCAAUUCGGAUAAUAUUGAAAAUCGAAACUUUUUUAAUCAGUUCGGUUUUUAUCGAUUCAGUUAACCAAACCAAACCGAUAAAAUCUAAAUUUUUAAUCCACUCUUUUCUUGAUGUUUCUAUUUUUUUUCUUUUUUAAGUUUCUUUAUCUUUGUUUCCUCUGGCCGAUCGUUCAACCUUCGAUGACAAGCCAAAGGCCACGACCAACAAGGGUUGGCCUUACCGACCUUAGGCGAAGUGGCCCUCACUAGGAUCUGGCAAGGGGCAACCUCACUGGCCUCAAGCAAGGCUCGCCCUCGCCAAGUCCAGUGUGGUAGAACCUCACCAGAGGCCAAUGAGGGUUGACCUCGCGGGCCUUAGGUGGGUCACCCCCAUCGGGAUCAGGCAAGGAGCGACCUCGCCUGAGGCUGGCGAGGCCAACCCUUGUCAGUCGUGGCCUUUGGUUGGUUGCCGAAGGUUGGGCAAUCGCCAAAGGACAAAAAGAGAAAGAGAAGAAAAGAAAAAAAGAAGUUUAAAAUUUAUAAAAAAAAAAAAAAAGUAAAAACCGAACCGAGCCAAAUCAAAUCGGAUUUCAGUUUGGUUCAGUAAAUUUUCUUAUUGGUUAGAUUCAAUUCGAUUUUCCAAAAAAACCAAACCAAACCGAACCACUUACACCCCUAACUUUUAUAGCCAUUUUAUUGUUUGAAAGGGGAAGUCAUAUUUUGACUUCAACUUGAAUGAUUGCUUAUAAAUGGUUUGUAAAACCUUUUAUAAAGGUAUCUUAAAAAGUUUAUGAUUAAUAUGGUUUGAAAAGGUGCUUUGAUAUCUAUAUAUUGAAUGCUUGAAUUGUGAAUUAGUUUAUGAAAUGGAUUUUGAAUUGGUUUGGGAAACUCAUUUUGAUAUAUGAAAUGAUUUUGCUUGUGGAUUACUGGAGAUUGAGUUGAUGGUUUAUGCUCAGUGUCUUUGUGACCUAUUGAGGGGUGUGUGGGUAUGUGCAUAUUAAUCUAGGAUAUCCCUGCAAAUCGAGCCACCAACUAAUAAUAAGUGGAAACCUAACCAAGAGGGGGAAUUCUGGUCACCUUCUCAUUAGGCAUUAUGCCGUGACCAUAGUUCGAUGGAUGGACCAUCGUCGUAUGGUUUCAUAUGAGAUGGAUCAAUGGGAUAAACCAUUAAUAUGUGGCAUGAGAUUAAUCAAUAGAAUGGAUCAUUAACAUGUAAUUUUUUAUGAGAUUGACUAAUGGGCUGGACUAUUGGUGUUUGCUUGUUAUUAUCUUGAAUAUUUCUACUUUGAAUAUAUUAUGUUAAAGUAAGAAAUAUUAUAUUUUGGUCUUGAAGGUUUGUUAAAUCUUUAGAUUUGGCGAAAAUGAGUUAUAUUUGUAUUUUAAAUAUGUAUAGUGAUUGCUUGAUUCGCUUGAAAAAACGUUUACUCAUUGGGCCAUGGUAGCUCAUUAAUUUCUUCUUAUCAUAUUUUUCAGGUGCCUCAAUUAGUGACCGAUAGAACACGAGCAAUAUUGCAGGAAUUAUUCAGAGUCGGAUAUUUGGGGUAUACUUUGAGGCUGCAUCUUUUGAAGAAAGGAUCGCCGUGUCACUCCCUCAUCCCUAUAGGAUUUGGGGUGUGACAUAUUUAGUCUCUUGCUUGUAAUAUCAAGAAUGUUAUUGCGAGUUAGUUUCCACUUGAUCUUCUACAAGUAAUAUCGGAGUGAUGCCACACAACUCAACAUAUAAUUGAUGCUUGUGCUUUAGCAUCAGCUCAAUUGGCAUCAAUUGGCUUGUAGAUAGUCAUCCCCAAAGAGUUUGUGACGAAACGAAGUUUAACUUACCUAUAAAAGAGAAAAUAGAUAACUUCAUCUCUUAUCUCUAACAAAGAAAAUUUAUUUUAUUGUUUAUAAACUUUUGUUUACCUAUCUUACCAACUCUUAUAUAAAAUUAGCAAUCUUUUUUAUUUACUUGGUUUAGAGAAAUUUUCUUCAAUUAAAUUAUCAACUAAUUUUGCAUUACAAACUUCCAUACAACUAGUUAACCGAGUAUCAUAUGUUCUUUCUUAACUUACUUACUUUUCUACUUAGGCCUUGUUUGAUAAAAAAUGUUUUUGUUCCUUGGAACAAAAAAUUUUGUUCUUUUAUUCCGGAAAACAAAAAAAAGAACAUAAACGUAUUUGGUAAAACUUUUAUUCCUGGGAAAAAUCCAUUUUUUUGUUUCCGGAAACAAAUUUGGAACAGAAAUAAGAAGUAGAAAAAAGUUACUUUUUAUUCUCGGGAACAAUUCCAAGAAACUAUUUUUCUCUCUCUCCUUUUUUCUUCUCUUUUCUUCUUUUUCCUUUUUUCCUUUGGCCAGCCAUGGUCUACGCCGACGACCGGCCAAACGAGGGCCGGCGACCUUGCCAGAGGGUCGUCGGCCCCUAGAGAUGCCACGCCACAGCAAGGCUGGGCCUCACCAGCCGGCGUAAGGUUGGCCUCGCGCUCACCCAACCUAGGCAAGGCUGAGUCUCACUAGUGAUCAAGUGAGGCUCCAGCGAGCUCGCUGGCUCUUGCCGAACCUCGGCCAGCCGACCGCCGACCGCUAGCAAUCGACCACAAAGAGGAAGAAGGAGAGAAAAGAAAAAAGAAAGAAGAAAAAAAGGAAAAUAUAAUAAAAAUAUUAAAAAAAACUAAAAAAAACAAAAUUAUACAGUUUUACCAAACACAUUUCUUUUCCGAGAAUAGAAAUUUUAUGCAGUUAUCAAGCAUGUUCUUAUACUCAAAAAUUAUUCCUGGGAAUAGAAACAAAAAAAAAAACUAAUUCUGUUCAAAAAUUAUUCCCCAGAACAGAAAUAUUACCAAACGCAUCCUUAGUUUACUACUUUUAUAUGAACUUCUUGGAAAUAAUCUAAUUUUUUUAGAAAUUAUCAAUCAAGUAAUUAUCAGCUUUUCUGUCAUCAAGUUCUCAACUAAUCACCUCUUUUUUGAGUUACACACCAACGUUUAUUUUUUUCCCAUUAAAUUACCAACUUUUCUCAUAGCUAACACAAAAAGUAAAAACUGCUCUUAUAUUUUAGCAACUUUUAUUACAUUUCUUAAGGAUACUUUAUUUUUAGAGAAAAUGACCCCUAAACUUUAACUCAACGUGUAAUGUGAUUCAUUAACUUUUAAUUUAUUUAAUAUGGUCCCUAAGCUUUUACUUAAUCUGUAUUGUUGUUUCUGAAUUUUUAAAUUAUUCAAUGUGAUAUAUGAACUUUGGGUACAUGUUUAAUUUAAUCGUUGAACUACAUGAAAAUGUUCAAUGUUGUUCCUAAAUUUGAAUUAAUAAAAGGAAAAUAUUGAACAUUUUCACAUAAUUCAGAACUAAAUUGAAUAUAUAGCAAAAGUUUGGAGAUCACACUAAACAAAUUAAAAGUUCAUAAACCACAUUAUACAUUAGAGUAAAGUUAAGGGAUCAAAUUGAAUAAAUUAAAAGUUCAAGGAAUACAAAAUACGUUGGGCCAAAUUUCAUAAAUUACAUAUGUCAUCAUCCCAAACUUAUUAUACUAAAGGUUUGACCGAAAACUCAAUAGCUUACUUUUUCACUAAAUAUAUGAAGAAUAAUGGGCCCUUUUAUUGACUCAGGGAGAAAGACACUGCUCUCCCAAACGUUAUUUUCAUUUUUGAAAUUUAAAGAAAAAGUUAUCCAAUUUCAAACAGUUUUAAAUAUUUGAAGUGGUGGAUUCUAAAUUCUAAUAACAAAAAAAUAUUUGAGAUUGUUCCCAACAUCUUAAUAAUAUUCUGUCUUAAAAAAUCUCCUUUGAGCAUAUAAAGAAAAAUUAUGAAUUAGAGAAGAGGAUUAGAGAUCAACGCAUGAAGUGUACAGCCACGUAAUGCAUCAGUGAAAUAAUGUCCACCAACAUUCAUCUGGGUGUCUCGCAUUUUAGAUUCAGAGCACACAAAUCAUCUAACCAAGCAUCGUAAUACUGCAUCACGCCACAUUACAACGAUAUCCGAUCCUAUAAGAUUGUUCAUGAGUUACUCUAGGCUUAUCAAUGCUCCUGGAUUGGAUCAGUCACAAGUUUGGCGCGGACAAGAUUGAAAAGCAUUGACAGGGUAGCUACAGAUCGAAACUGUGGCUGUUGUAAUGGAAUACCGGGUGAAGCGCUCCCCUCCUCAAGUUCUGUGACCUGCACUGCUUGGCAACGCUCGACUGAAGAGUUGCUGGACCGCACACUAUCACGCCAAUAUCGACUUUGCCCCAGCGCUCAGACACGGAUGUGAAGAUUUCUGUGCAAGGAUGGGAAUGGGGAUCAUAUUGUUCCAGCAUAAGCAUCAAUAAGGGCUGAGUUCUUUAAGUACUACCGAGAGUGAGAUCAUUUCCAUCUAAAACAAGUACAUCGUCUCCCGAAUGACAUGGCAAAUUGUACCUUCAAAGUUUGGUCUGGCGCCGUAAUGUGUAGUCCUUGCAACAGGGCGAUCUUUUGGGACUACGCCUUCCUGCAUUGUCUUGAAAUGUUCACUCUGCUGCGACCCAUCAUCCUUCUCACGAUCAUCGGCUUCCUCUGCAACAACCGCUCUUUUUUCCCAGCGAUGCCAUAAAUAGAUGACAGGGCCUCCAAAUAUGAUUGCACUGCCGAUCAUGCAUCCUACAAGCAAGAGGCCUUUGUACCACCAUGUGGCUAUGUUCAAAGGGUUUAUGUAGAAGAUGUCCAGCAGGGCCAUCAAUACAGCAAAGCCAACCGCAGAUGAGAUGACAUGAGCUCCGGACCAUAUACGGUUUCCCGUACCAACUAGAACGGACAUGCCACUUCCCCUUAGUAAAGGAGACACGGAAGUGCUAAUGUCCUCGCCAAUGUUCCCUUCUUCCUGCAUCAUAACCACACUUAGCUCUCCAGUUCAUGGAUUUAAGGCAAAUUGUAUGUCAAAGACACAAGUCAGCUUUACCAGUGGAGGAUGCGAUUCCCUGGUGACAUAGACACGAACUUCGAGGUCCAGCUUAUCGGAAAAGUUAGGGCAGAUCGACUCCAUAUUUAGAGUGGAUAGCAGACGAAGCUCAUUGGAUUUUCUUAUGGCCCAAAUCAACAGGACAUUCUUUGGUAAGCAUGGUUUCCCUUGAUUUGUAAGAUGGAGUAUGUCACUCAAGACAGCCAGAAAGGGGGAUAUCCCACUGCCUCCAGCUACCAGAAUGAGAUUCUCAUAUCUACCAGAGCAAAUAAUUCAAGUAUGAAUCCGCUAAAAAGAGGGGAGACAAUAGUCACAAAGAGAUGGAACUUACGAUCCUGAUGGUAAAAACCAAAUCAAAUGGAAACAAUCUUAAAAUACUUCCUAAUCUAGAAGCACUGAUUAUUUUCAUGAAGGUCAGAAUAGGUUCUUUCAAAUGAAAAGGGUCCAACUUUGCCUAGUUUUACUCAUCGCUGAUGGUUUAAUGCGUUAUUGUAUUCUCGCCCUUAAUCACGAAAGAUGUACUAGUAGAUCAUAAGACAUACGUCAGAUGGUAAGGGAUUUCAUGCCCGUAAGGCCCUUCAACAGAAGCUGUUAUCUUGGACCGAGAUUGACUGCGGAGUCCAUAUUCUCCUUCUGUGCCGGACAUAUGCAAUACCUUGCCCUUCAAGUUGGAGGUCCACUCCCCUAGGACCUUUAUGAGGACA